rnacentral:lncRNA from 1 species
UCGCUUGAAGUUUACAUGAACAUGCAAACAUGAUGAAAGAUCCAAGUAAACAUAAUACAAGAUCAUCCGCUACCAAAUCAAGUAGAUCAAAUGACAAAAUAAGCAUGACUCAAUUGAAAAUUUCAUCAUGUCCAUCACAGAUUCGCCAUUAAUCCCAUAAACAGAAGCAUGAUCGAGAACAACAAAUUGACAAGAUAGGAAAAGAGGGAACGGAGGCGACGAACCCUAAUUGCUGAUGAUGAUGAGCUAGGCGACGGGUUGGUAGUAGUCGUACUCCCUGCGGAAGCGAUCGGGAUCGACGGCGACGAUGACGUAGACGGCGUAGAUCAUGCCGGGGAUGUAGCCGAGGAUGGUGAGCACCAAGCAGAUCAAAAACUCAAGCUGCAGUCAUGGAGAGCGAAGAGAUCGUUAGGGUUGGGUUAGGGUUUUGCGAUGGAUCGGAGAGGAAAGAGGGGGAGAGGGGGAGAGGCGUACGGUGCAACAGCCAUGGCGGAGGCAGACGCCGAGUGGGGGUAGGAGGAUGGCGCAUAGGAUCUCGAGGAAGAUGGCGCACGCGCCCAUGGCUACGGCUUCUUCUUCUUUAAGCUUCUUCGGUGCGUUAAUGGCCGAGGGAUUCGUCGUCGGGUGUUUUGGGGAGGCGAUCGGGGGAUGUGGGAACGAAGGGGACGGUCAUGCGAAGUGUGAUAAGCAGCGGUGCGAUCUAUGCGUGACGCGUGUCCAUUGAGAGCUGUAAAAAUAUAUAUAUAUAUAUAUAUAUAUAUAUAUAUAUAUAUAUAUAAUAAUAAACUAAUAUUAUAAUAAUAAUAAUAAUAAAGUAUGCAGACCCAUCUAGAUCAUCUGCUGUACUAGUCUAAAUUUAUUAUUUAUUUAUUAUUAUUAUUAUUAUUAUUUAGGAAAAAAAGGGUUGAAUUUGGAUUUGCCUUUUUAUACAACAAAAUAAUUUCUCGGAAUUCUAAACUUAGGUGCUUUCCGACGAGCAAAAUACAAGAGAGCUAGGAUCAUAUCGUGUUCGGACCUGGUAAAGAUGAGUUAAACACAAACUAACUCAAACAAAUUGUAAGCUGAUCUAUUGAAUUCAUCACAAGUUCGAGCCGAUUACAAGCUAUUGACGCUUUCAACUUUUUGCCCUUAAAUGCAUUUGAAUUUAAGCUUUUGGCUGCUAAAUCAAUGUGUCUCAAAAGUCAAUAUAUAUUAGAAUCCAGCUACUAUAUUCUUCUAAGUAUAGAUUUUUCUGUACUCGUAAGUUUUCGACCGUUAGAUUCAUCUUUUUGAUCAUUUUUAUAUGUUAAAUUAUACUGUUCAACCAAUCAUCCAUUCAACCUUAGGAACCACUAUUAUUCUAAUCGAAAAUUACUAUCAUCUUAUCCGUAUAUUUUGUCAUGCAACGGUCAAAAACUUAUGAGUAAGAAAAGAAAAAAAAAAACUUCUGAAACUAGACUUUAAGAGAAAGAGCCAAAAGAAAUGAACGAAUAAUUUGCUUUCAAAUGUUCAACGCAUUAUUUCCAGCAGAGAAUUUUCUAGUGCCAAUGAAUCACUCUCCCUUCAUGAUACAUUUUUUAUUUUCGACCUACUUCCUAAUCCUAAGUUCAUCUAUCCACCAUCACUCUCUCCCUCCUCAUUUUCUUUUCUGAAAUUGCUUCAAAUUUCACAAACAGAAACAACAUUUUAUGCUGCAGGUCUUAAGAUUUUGGUAAUGGUUCUCCUGCUAAAAAUGACUGGAACAGCUCGAAUGCUCGUCGCGGCUGAAACAACGGCACCUCGUGCCCUGCUCCUCUCACCGACGCGAACGUCAACCCCUCGUAUACCUCCGACCAUCCUCCGACCUACGAUUUUUGUUCUAUUACGUCAGAAAAUGAUCGUAUCAUGUUAUCAUGCAAAAUGUAGUGUUUUACGAAUUUUAUUGCGACUUACUUGUCGGCCCGAGUACCAUGGAUACCAAGGGAUCUUCACCUUCAGAUGGAGAUGGCCGAUCGAGAACCUUGUCGCCGUCACCGGUACCACUGAAUCAGUGUCCCCACUGCGUGCAUAUCACCACACAACUUCAUUAAAUUUUGUCAAUAGCUCCAUUCAGAGAAAAGCUGUUUCAGAAACCAGGUGAAAUAAGUGCCGACGAACGACAAUUACGGCUUACCUAAACACCCAUAUCCUCAGACCUGCGCCGAUCAGCUCCUUGUACGUCGGCAGCAUGGAGAUCUGAGAAUCACGCCACGUCUUUAUGAGUACGUCGCUGUUUACGUAAUCAGAAACGGAAACGAAACAGUCACAACUAGAUCGAAAUAAUCAAACACGGACGAAUCGAUUGUCACAUUCGCACCUGCAGGCCGUCCAUCUGUAAGGAAUUCUCGUGAUAUUCGCAUGCAUCACUCUCUGCACGUCGGGACGGUUGUAGUACUUCUCGGCGUAAGUUUCAGUGCAGGGGUCGUAGCCCGAAUAGGAGCGGCGGCGGAGUAAGGUGUUCUUGAGCCGCAUGAGGGGGCGGUGGCGUGCAGAGGAAUUGGAGGUGGCAGCAGCAGCAGCACAGGAGGGAGUGUAGAUGCUGUACUGGUCGAUGUCCCCGAACUCGUGGUUCAUGGCGUAGUUGACAGCACCGUCGCAGGGGCGGGACGUCUUGACGGCGGAGAAGUUGCAGGAGGAGAGAAUGGAGCGGUAGGUGCUGUCGGAGAUCAUGGCGUGGGUCCACCAGUAGGAAACAGUGCCGAUGCUGUCGUAGUAGUUGUCCGUCACCGCGUUGCCGACCUACGCGACAGAUAAUCAAUCCUACAGGCACUUCAAUUGCGAAUUCUAAAUUGUUGAGUGCAAUCUACAACGCCCGAAAGUUCUAAAUGUGAAAAAUCUUGUAUAACAAAUAAUAACUACAAAAUUGAGAGAAAUUAUAUAUUGUCCUUUAUCCUAAACGUAUGCGCGGAAUCAUCGAAAAGAUAGAUAAUUUAUAACAAGAAAAAGGAAAUCCAAGCUACAAUUGAUCGCAAGAUGAAUAAACUUCCGAGUAAAUACUCACGAGAAAUCCCUUGAGGUUGAUGAAGGGCUUUGAUAUAGCUUUGUUGUAGUCGACUAUUUUCUUUGCCAACUGAGGCACAUAGUGCCCUACAAAAAAAGAAACAUCUAUAACAAAAAAAAGGGCAAUAAAUGAAAUAUCGAAACUAAAACAUACAGAAAUCGCAGCGAAGGUCGUCAGUGCUUGCCAAUUACAAGCUAGAAGCUGCUAAAAUAGAUUUUAAUUUCGAUUUUUCAUCCUAGUCUCUGAACUCUGAAUUUUCACCUAACUAUAUAUAACUUGCUCUUUUAGAUUCUUCACUUAAGUGAAUUCACUUCUAUAUCGAUUCUGAGUGCGAUACCGUUGAAAUCUCUAACAUCUUGAACACGUAAAUUGAAAAUUAAACAGAAAUUAUCGACGCAAAUGAACACAUUGCAGUAAAAAAAAAAAGAAAAAAGUUCAGAAACUAGUUUCGACAAUGCAUUUUACGACAGAACAUAUUACCGCACCAGAACACUAAUACAAUGACAACAAGGGAAUAUAUUCCUGAGUGGUUCACUAGUCCACAAUGUUUUUCAAUCAAGGUACUCAAACUCGGGACUUUUCACUGCCACAUAAUUGUAGUAAACUCGAACUCUCGAAGCCGUACCUGCAUAGCUCUCCCCUGCAAUGUAGAAAUCUCGAUGUUUAUAUUGCGGAAAUCUCGAAUACCAACCAACCAAAAAAUGCAAAGCAUCCUGAGCUGCAAAAGAAUAUCAUAAAAUGAUCACUUUGAUUCUAAAAUAAACAGAAACAAGGCUAUAGAAUCUCAUUUAACUAACUAUGUCAACUUCGAUUUUACAGCGUACCGGUUCGUUUAUCCCCAGAGGUUUUUAGAUCAGAGCUGGUGUUUGUGUACGAGAAUCCGACGCCGGCGGGUGAUUCAAGAAAAAGAAGGUUUGCUUCUGCAACAAUGAAUCAUAUCAUUCUUAGCGCGUAGAACGCAUAACAAUAGUACUAGGAAUAUUGUUCUAUAACUAGAAUAGUAGGUUUCGAAUUUGCAAACCGAUAUUCAUGCAGAAUACGGAGUAUAAAACUGGUGCUCCGAAUCACAUAAGCCCGGUCAUUAUUAUUUACCUCGAUUCCACGAGUAUUUGUUUAGGUACAGUGACGAGCCAUUUCGUUUGAUCCUGAACGGUCCGACCUCCUCCGAUGCUCCGUAAGCCACCGAAGAGCAGCCCGGACCUGCACAAAAGAGCAACAACAACAAGCGAUCACAAAUUGCUCCAAUAUGCGCUUCUGGGCCGUAAAAAUAAAAAUUUCAAAUAUGAAAUCUCCUGCUUCUAGCACGAAGAUGCGCGCUUAGUUGUGAUUCAUUGGAAAGGAUAAUUAGUGCUUCUUCAAAUAAUUCUCGAGUAAUGCUAUGCUUAUGUGAAUGUCUACGCAAUAUUAUGAAUUGUUUGCAAGCAUAGUAUUAUUCAAACAGUACUUCUAUAGGCACGCCAAAUAAGCCAAACCAAAAUAGUACUAGAUUCAUAAUAAAAUUGAAUUUAUUAUACAUAUGAACGAAAUAUGUGUGAGCCAUCGGAUCGGAUUUUAAGGAUCCGAACACCAAAUUUUUAUUUUCAAUGGUCAAUCAAACGCUCUAUAUAUAUUGCACACAAAUAUAAAAAUAACACAAUUUAGAAUAUCAUUUUAAUAGAAAAUUAUCAUAUUAUUUAUGUAGAAUUAGUUUGAGCUACCCAUUUGGCACCCUACUAUAUAUAUACUAUACUUCUCUUAGUUUUCACUAGGGCUGUCAACGAGCAGAAUGCAAGCGAGUUGGGGCGUGUUCAUAUUCGUUCGUAUGUUAUAUGCGCCGAAUACGAGCUAGCUUACGAACAAUAAGUUAAAUUAUCUAAAAAAUUAAGAAAAAAUUAAAAAUUAGAAUCUUAAUUUAAUAAUUAAAAUUUAUAAAAUAUAAUUUUUUUUUAUAUUUGGGUUGGUCUAAAAUUAAAGUAGUAUAAAUUUGUAAUAUACAGCUGUCAGCUGAAGACGAGUUAGCUCACGAACAGCUAGCUGAAUUGCCCAGCCUAAUUUCCACCCAAUUUUUUGUUCUUUUUCUUUUUCUUUUUAUCUCCUAAUAACUCUUUACCAAGUAGAAACUAAUAAGAAUAUAAAAAACCAUAAAAUCCAAAUCCAAAUCUCUCUCUCUCUCUCUCUCUCUCUCUCUCUCUCUCUCUCUCUCUCUCCUUCCACAAACACACACACACACAAACAGAGACAAAGAGGCAAAUAAUUAAAAGUUGGAGGCGCUUUUUAAAAUGCGCCCUGCUUUUCUCCUCCCAACUCGCUGCGCGUGCCUUACUUCACAUCAGGGUUUACCUCCACCCACUCUCUCUCUCUCUUUCUCCCUCUCUCUCUCUCUCUUGUAACCAAGUCAAACCAUCCAUAUGUUAGACAGAGAAACAAGUGAACUCACAUAGUCACAUGUUAUGUCAAGGGAACAGAGAGAAACAAAACAAAUCUAGAGAGAGAGAGAGAGAGAGCACUGAUGGCAUGCUCCCAGCCCUUUGGCACAGACUGCAAACCCACUAAAAGAGAGGAAAACAGAAAGGUUGAGAAACUACUACUGCCUGAAUCCAGCUCACCAUUUAUCACCGUGGACUGUCCAGUGAUCUGCUCUUACAAUCUUGUUCAUUUCUUUCUUAUAAGUACCACCGCAUGGUAGAUUUAACCUUUUUUUUUCUAAAAACUUAAUUUUUUUUAAAGAAAUAAUAGUAAUUUCAUGCUAAUUUGGCGCGUAAAUCAAAAGCGCCAAAAUUGCAGACUUAGAAUCUUACUUUUACUCUUCAAAUGUAGUCGAACUGUAAAGUUCUUCUCUCUUUUGAGGGUGUAAUUUAAGUACAAUCCCAUGGUCGAGGAUUUUUGAACACGAAAGUGAUUUUGCUGCACAUCGGCGGAGGGAUUGCCAGAAAAGAUGGGAGGGAGACUCAGAGAGAGACAGAUGAGUGGAUGGUCCACAGCUGACAUGGUGGACUAAGUCCAAACAAGAUUGCUCAUGCCUGUGAGGCAGAAAAAGUAGCUGGUGGUGUGUUGUUUGUAGUUACUUUUUUUUUCCUUUUUUUUCUCUCUCUUUUUUCUUCUUUUUUUUUUUUUGUUUGGUGAAAUCCACAGGGUGAUGAUUACAAAGGAUGCAGCAAAAAGAAUAAAAAUGGAGAGCCACAGCUUUUUAGAUCUCUUUGUAUAGCCUGACUCAGUCACAUGAACCAACCAACUUUGGUGCCACACACACCUAAACAAACACAUUAAUAAGAUUAUCCUUAACGUAAAAAGUAUAAAAUUUAUCUAAAUUAUACACCAUUUUGAAUUAGUUGUUUAAUUUUUUAAAAUUUUAAUUUUACUGACUAAUCUUUUAAUUUUAUUGAAUUUGAGUCGGUCAACAGCACUUUAAUUUUAAAAUUUAAGUUAAUUACUUUACGAGAAUUACGUGAAAUAUCAACUUUUGAAGUCAAAGUAUUAUUGGCUGACUCAAAUCGAACAAAUUGCAAAAUUGAAUAGCAAAAUCAAAUUUUUUAUUAGUUGGAUAUAGUGAAUUCAAAAUGGUGUACGGUUUAGAUAACGUUUGGAUGUUUUUACCAAUCCUUAAUAAGACCAUAAGAUCUUUCACACAGUGUCUCUUUGUGUAUUCUUUUGACCUUUUAACUAGUGCAGUAAAAAAAGAUUUGAGGGCCCUAUUUUAUAUUGUCUUGUCCUUUUUUACUACUUAGAUCCUUGUUGUUUUUAUUUAAAAAAGUACUUGCUAUGGUACUAUUGGUUAAUUUAGGGUUGGAUGUGGUCCUUCUUUUUUUUUCUUUUUUUAAAUUAACAAUAAAACAACUAAACAGGUUAAAAUUUAUUCACAUGUUAAUAGUGGAGCUGGGGAUUAUUAAGACUUUAUUAACAUUAUAUAUAGAGAGAGUUGAACUGAAAUAUUAUCAAUAGCAUUUGGACUCUUUUGCUAUCGAUUUUUUAGCCGUUAGAUCUACACUUUAAUCAAUUCCACCCUUUAAAUCAUAUUAUUCAACCAACCAGUCACUUAACCUUAGGGGGACCACUAUCAUCAUAAUCCUACAAUUUUUCAUAUAAUAGUUAAAAACUCGAUAGCAAAAGAGCCCAAAUACUAUUAAUAGUAUUCCAGCCCAAUUCUCUCUCUCUCUCUCUCUCUCUCUCUCUUCUCUCUCUCUCUCUCUCUCUCUCUCUCUCUCUCUCUCUAUAUAUAUAUAUAUGUGUGUGUGUGUGUAGAGUCCGGCUACUACACUAUUAAUAACACCAAGCGCUUGGUGCUAUUGAAUUUUCUACCGUUAGAUCUAUUUCUUUGACGAUUUUUAUCCGUUAAAUCAUACUAUUCAACCAAUCACUCACUCAACCUUAGUGGAUUGCUAUCAUUCUAACCUCACAUUCCUUCAGAGUCACUCUUUAAGUUUCUCAAUUCUAAAAAAUUACGAGUUCUAAUUCUGCAUUUAUCGUUUAAUGGCAUUCGGAUGAAACAUCAAAUACAUUUCUAAACUAUUUCCAUCUAAUUGAUCAUUAAGCACUUAAUUCAUUGUUCCAAACUUAAAUCUAUAUAUGGUCAGUGUUAUUCUUAUUGAUAUCCUUUAACUCCUAAAUUAAAAGCUUCUCUUAGUUUCCCCAAAGGACAAAAAGUUAUUCAAAAGGGACAUCAAUGAUCCUAACAUGUUCAUCACUGUUUGUGUUGACUAAGAGCUGUGCAAAAAUAUUUGCAAAUUUCAAAGCACUACUACCAACUUUGGCAAAUUAUAUCCUCAGAAUAAAGUAUUUAUAUAGUUUUUUUCCCUAGUUAACCUAGAAUAAUAGUACAUUGGAUACAAUGCACCUAUUAUUAUUAAUUAUUAUUAUUAGAUUUUUUUCUUUGCAUAUAAAUCACCUAAAUUUCUUAAUAUAAAAGCUAGCAAAUAUAUCUAUAAAUAUUGUCAAAAAAAUACUAAUUAUCUGGUCAUUUAUUUGAAAACCAAUACAAGAAUUUUAUAUAAACAUCCAAAUAGUAGUGUAAUGUUAUAGUUAGUAAAUGUGAGAGAUCUAGUGAAAUGCAUAACUCAUGAUAAAUAAUUUGAGGGACUCAUACGUAAUACUACAACAAUAUAGGGACAUAUUCCUAAAAAAGGGAAAAGCCAAUAUUACAGUAGGUGGGGACCCACCACCACUGCCACGUAGACUAUCUAAUUUUGUGCCACGUGGCCUUCCCGCGUUAUGCAUUUACUGUGGGUAGGUAAUGUGUACCUAAACAUAGAUUUUGCUCAAUUACCUCAUCAUUUUCGAAUCAAUGUCGCUCACUAAUUUAAUUCCAAAAAUUUUACAAAAAUUACAAUAAAAACAAAAGGAAAAAAAGUUGGAUUGACUACACAAUUAUUAUCUAAAAUAUCAAUUUAAUAAGCAUAAAUGAUGAAUAAAAAAUACGUAAAAUUUAUCAGUUAAAAUAAAUAUUAUUCAUUAAAGAGUAUUAGAGAUGAUGACUAAAACUUGAAACUAAGUCUAAAGAAUUCAUUAUCUAAUUAUAAAAAUAAAGCUCAGAAAUAUAUUUAAUUAGUAACAACUAGCUACAACUAUAGCAAAAAUUAGAUUAAAGGUUUAAUUAAUUUCUUUGCAUAAUAUUUUUCAACCUUAUGAAAAUGAUAACACCAAGCAAAUUAAACAAACCCUCUUGAAAAAUGAAAAGCACACUCCCUUUUAGCUUUAUAUUCAAAGUAACACACACACACAUCACUGUGGAAUAAUAUAUGAAAUAAUUAUCUUUUAAAAAUUUUGAACUUUAGAUUCAACUUCUAAGAUAUUAAACCGAAAGAGAAUGAUAUUUUAAUAAUUUAUAUUCAACAAAUAUGUCGAUAUAUGUGCAUAUUAAAAAAAAAGAAAAAGAAAAAGAAAAAAGAAAAAAAAGAACAACAAUGUUACGAGGGACUAACCUCCAUUGAGCCAAAGAACGAGGGGCUUCACAGAAGAGUCCACGGUGGCCUCCGUGAGCCAAUAGAAGAGGGCCCUGCCGUGGACCCGGUCCACGGUGACGUACCCGGAGAACUGGUCAAAGCCCACCGGGGGUUGACCGGGGAGAGCCCUUAUACGAUCCCGAUCAGCUUCUGAGCAUCGCUCUCCACGAGUGUCCCCCACAACAACACCAACAAUGGCGACUAACAGGAGCAGUAACCAAAACCAGAGGAGGAAGAAGAUGAAAGGAGAGUGCAUGGUGGUGUAGUGGGGUGGUCUUUUUUGUGUACCCAUUAAUUAUUCUCACACAAGAUACGUAUAUAUAUAUAUAUAUAUAGUUUGUAGCUCUACGUAUAUAUAUAUAUAUAGGGUUCUUUUUGUUAUCUAAAAAUGGAGCGAGCAACAAUGUGAUGGGUAAGCAAAGUAGAGGUGUGGAGAAUCUAUACCAUUGCCAUUAAUAUUUGACUUCAAAUCAAUUAUUAUAUAUAUAUAUACUAUACUUAUACUAUAUAUAUAUAUAUACUAGCCUAGGGAGUGGAAAUAAAUGCAAUCGCAACAUGCAUUCUCCACUCACUCUCUCCUACUCUCCUCUCUCUCUUACAUAGUCAGUGUGUGUAUAAUGUACAUUGAUACGUGUGCACAGUGGUAUACCAUGCAGGGGACUUGAGAAAGCUGGUUUUGGUCUGAAGAAGAGAAAGAAGUGACCUUGAUUAGAUCAUGUGACAAAACGGAGGUUUCUUGGAGGAAACUAGGCCAUAAUUCACUAGUAGAGAUCACUGUAUUUUACAGCUACGUAACCUGAACUUAUUGUAUCAUAUAACUUAUAUUUAUAUUAUAUAUAAUUAUAUAUCAUCAAUAUAUAUAUAUUAAUAUACUGAUUAAAAUCGCGCUUGUCGCUACAAAGUUUGUAUCUAUGGAUUUUAAAGCAAGUUGCAGUGGAAAGGUCAGGAAAUGGGACAAGUAGUGGACCCAUUUAUUUGUACCUAGAGAUAUAAUUAUUUAUUUUAAUUAUAUCUUAAACAAACUGUUAUGAUUUGCGUGGGGUAUUAUCACUUUAGUUUAAUAUUAAGUGCGCAUGAUGUGUACUCUAUCUACAAUUUCAAACAAAGCCAAGAGAUGAUUAAGGCUUAUUCUUUAAACUGUGAUUGUUAGGAUUAUAGUCAUAUUUAUUGUCACACAAAACAGCUUUUUCUAACUAAUAUUCAACCACCAUGCAUAUCUUUUUGACAAAUUGUACUUAACCUGCAACACAGCAAUACAAAAAGAUGUGGGUUAGGCCAAUUGAAUAGGACCUAACUUUUGAAUUCUUUUCUCAGAAAGAAGAAAGAACAAACAUGUUUUUCUAAUUAAUGACCCAAAAUAUUAAAUACCUUAUCCAUUAUUGGCAUGAGAGGCACUAGCUUGUGGGUCAAAACAAUGCCUCUCCUCUUUUUCCCUAUUUAAUGAGUUGGAUGGUGUUUCAAACAUGUUAUGGGCCCUCAUAAAUAAAUGUUGUUCCUCUUCUAUAAUCUAAUGUUUUGACCACUUGACCCAAAAAAAAAUAAUAAUGUAUAUACUAUUUAUCAUAUUUAUAGGGAUCUGUAUGAAAUUAACCCUUUUAUAUACUAUGUGUGCAACCUCUUGACAAAUUUAGCCUUUGCCCCUUAGUGAGAGGCAGAAAAUAAUAAUUAUGGUGUUACCCUUUAAUGUACUGUUUUACUUGUUACUUCGUCACAAUUCACAUGGGCCAAAGUUUCCAAAACUGCUCAUCUACAAUGAUAUUUAUAUAUAGGUGCCUUAAAAAGAGUGAACCAUUUGUCAUAGAACAAUCCACCAUUUUCACUAGGGAGGUAUAUAUAUAUCAUGUAAUUUAUAUGUACAGGAUUAACCCUAGCUAGCUAGGAACCAAACAAUGUGUUUUAUAUUAAAUUGAAUGCUAUUUUGUUUAUUAUUUAGCUUAGCCUUUGUUAUCUACUUAUUGUGCUUUUAGUUCAAUGCACAAACUGUUGGAUUUAGUAAAUUUAUUGAUUUGUUUAAGUAAAAUUGCUCAAAUUAGAAGAAGCAAAAGUUGAGAAAAAUAUCAACAAAAAUAGGGGGUGAUGAUGUUAGCGUAUCCAAAAUUAAUAACGAGCAACAAAUUCCUUAUAGAUAAAAAAAUAUUUUUUCAGACAAAAUUAUUUUUUUGAAAUAUUUUUUGAAAAAACCAUACUUUUUCUUUUUCGUUGUUCAAAUAGAGGACAGGUUGGAUAUUAAUUGCGCGACAUUGACAAGUGAGAGCCCUAAUAACAAACCACAGCUACUUAAAGCCAUUCUCAUUAAUUUUCAUACAUAGGUAUAUUAAAAAAAAAAAAAAAACUUUCUAUUAAGGUUCACCAUUCAAGGCUCUUUGAAAUGCGUGCGAAACCCCACAACAAAGGUCUCCUCUCCUCUCCUCUCUAUGCUCUCAUUAAUUAUCAUACGACAUAAAUGAGCACGAGGUGUAGGGGAGAGAGAGAGAGAGAGAGAGAGGAGGAGAGAGAAAAUGAAUAAAUAUUAAAUAAAUAUUUUGCAUGGUUUUAUCCCUAGAGGAUAGGGUAGCUACAGUGGGGUGGUAUAUAAAUGGAUAUAUUAUUUUUGCCGACAUGAAUUAUUAAUAUUUGUAUGUUUAGAAGAUGACGAAGUGGUUUGUUUCUGUCACCUUUCUUAUGUACGUACGUAUGGAGGGGAAUAAAUACCAUGCAUGCAGAGCCCAAAGUGUGGUUAAUUAUAUGCAUAUAUAUUAAUCUAUGAGCAUAUGAUUAUUUUAGAAGUUUUAGGUUUAGGGUAUGAACAAAACUGAUGAGUUUGCAUGUGACUAACUCCAUUAUUUUAGAUUAGGGGUUUUAGGUUUAGGGUAUAAACAAAACUGAUGAGUUUGUAUGCGACUAACUCGGGCUCGACUCGUCACGAACUCGACCGGUUCGGCACGAGCGAAAGCUUUCUAAUUCAUGAAUUAUAGAAUUAUGAAAUUUGUAUGGGUUAACUGCACCGCUGGUCCCCAAUCUUUAUUCAAAAGCAUUGUAAUCUCUUCGUUUUUUUUAAUUCAUUUUUUUUUGUCUCUUUAAUAUUUUUUAAAUUUGUUGUUUUUCUCUCCGGUAUGAGUUGAACUAUUCAAAUUUUGAGUAAUAACAAAGAGAAAAGAUAAUUUAGAAAAAUUUUAAUUUUAAGUAAUAAAAAUUUAAAUUUAAAAAAUAGAUUAGCCCAUGGCCCGGUCCAGCCCAUGAUACAGGUCUUAUUAGUGGACUCCAUCCGACCCGAGCCAUCCAAACCCGUCCCGUCCCGGGCCGGGCCGGGUCGGAUCGGGCAAAACGAUCCUAGCUUGACCCUCGUCAUAGUAUAAUUAGUAGAAUCACAUAGAUUAUUUCACCCUUUAAGAUUGGAUGAAAACUAAAAGAAAAAUAUGCAAAUUAUAUUUCACUCCUAAUCUGGACUAUCGGAUCAAACCCGGCCCGAUUCUAUAAAUGAGUGAUCCAAGCCCGAUUUAAACCAAAUUGAGUUCCAGUUCGGAUCAGUUUACGCUAAACUAUUCUGAUUUAAAUUGAACUAGAGUAGUAUUAAAAGUUCCUAAGCCCUUAAUAAUUACACAUCAAUCGAUGAGCAACAGCCAUUAAACAUAAUUUAUAAGUUCUUUAACUACCUAAAAACCAAAAUUUCAAGUUUUUUGACAUUAUAUACGCGAUCAAGUGAUCUUAAUACACUUUAUAUUGAAUAAUAGAUUAAAUAAUAUCCAAAAAUUACGAAAUAUAGUUUUAAGAAAGUUCUCGCGCCGUAUAUCAUGUUUAACGGCGCCAAUCAUCAAUUUAGAUACUCUAUCAUUGGAUGUUCAGUAUGAAAAUACGAAGGAUCUGGUGCUUCCAAAAGUAUUCUAGCUUUAACUCUUCUAACGACCUGAACAUUUUAAAAUAUAUCAUCCGACGGAAAAAGAAGCUUAAAUAUACACCCUAAUUUUGCAAUCCUUGGUCAAUUAAGAAAAGCUGUAAUUGAAGUUCCACAAAUCUCAUUUCAACUCCUAACUACUAAGUUUUAAUCAUGAAAAGUAUCAAGCUUUUCCAACACUCUGUUUAAGAAGAACACAACAAAAGUUGCACCACAUUCAUUUGAUUUGAGGUAUUCUCAGAAGUGCACAGUAAAAGAGAAGAAGAAUAUAAAGUUAACAAGCCAAAGAAGCCAAAGACAUGCACAAAUCAAACAAAAUUUGCUACUAUCUCAACUACACAUAAUUCUUCUCAUGGAUUCUAUACAUUAAACACAAUUCACAUGAUUGGCGCAUUAUUAAACACCUACCUCUCGAUUUCUGAGUCCAGCAAUAUCCGAUGGCGCACGCUACAACAUGCCCUACAUAGAACCAUUCUUUGAAAAUAUGCAACUGCUUCGGAACAAUUCGCGUGCAGCAACGGCAGAUGCUCAGUGCCGUUGAUGGGGGUGAAAUUAAGUGCACUGCAGCAUCACUUGCUCAAAAAGAUUCAGUUCGUUUCGCGCAUUGCAACUCUGCCAUGAUCAAUUGUUCAAUGAAAGAGCACUCAUUCAGUGGUCAUCCAACAGGUGAAAAGUUUUGAUUUUACUAUCAAACCUCAUAGUGUUUUUGAAAUAACUAGCUAAACCUCACCAGUUUUGAUCUACUAUCCAAUUUUACAGCAUAGGUAACAUUUUCGACAAAAUAUUUGAUAAUCUCUAACACUAUGUUCUGGAAAUAUAACAGGUACCGUAUGGUUAGAUACUAAAUUUCAGAACUACUACAAAACUUACAUAAAGUGCAGGUUUUUACCGAAAUAAAGAUCGACUCCGUCAAUGAAUCGGCCGAAGCAGCGCGCAUCAAUCCUGAGCAUUGGCAUCAUUCGAGCAGGUUCGAUCAGCAAUCACAGGCUGGCAAAUCCAGUGGAGCCCCUCCAGCAAGUCCGAGUACGUCCUCCGAUCCAUCGCCCCUCUCCUCCUCGACAAUUCGUCGAGCAGCUGGAAUGCGUCGUCGGCCCGCCCGCCCCUGCACAUCUCCUCCAGCAGCGUGCGGUACGUCAGCAAAUCCGGCGCCCUCCCGUUCCCCAACAUGUCGAGCACGACCUCCACGGCCUCCUCGAACCUCCGCUCCAGCGCGAGGCUCGACACCGCGGCCAUGUACACGGAGGCGGUGGGCACCAGGGCCUUGCCCCUCAUCUCCCUGAGAAAGGCCAUGGCUUUGUCGACCCGGCCCUUCUCGCAGAGGGCCUUGACGACGUAGCCGUAGGAGAACUCGUUGGGGUCGCAGCCGUAGAGGGGCAUCUCGCUGAAGACGCGGAGGGCGCCGUCGAUGUCGAGGCAGCGGGCGUGGGCCUUGAUGAUGAGGUUGAGGGCGAGGGAGUCGGGGACGACGCCGGAGGCCUUCAUGUGGCGGGCGAGGGAGCGCACGGCGUGGAGGUAGGCGUGGGCGGCUGGGGGGCGGCCGAUGCGGCGGAGGAGGGCGGAGAGGAGGAGGUUGUAGGUGUCGAGGGAGGGGCGGUGGCCGGGGGAGCGGCGGAGCUUGUUGAAGAGGUCGAAGGCGCGGGGGAGGAGGCGGGGGCGGGAGCAGCAGAAGCGGACGGCGGCGUUGAAGAGGGGGAGGUCGACGGGGCAGGCGCCGGAGAGGACGUCGGAGACGAGGGUUUCGGCGGCGGCGAGGCGGCCGGAGGAGGCGGCGACGGAGAGGGCGGCGAGGUAGGCCUCCGGCGGGUGGCGGUAGCCGGGGCGGAGCGAGGCCCAGCGGAAGAGGUCGAGUGCGAGGUCGGGGUCGGCGGCGGCGCGCACCGCCGCCGCGACGUCGGCGCCGGUGAACCCCGGGCGGAGGCGUUCCACCCAGUUCGCGAACUGCUGCUCCAGCGGGGUGAGCCCGCGAGGACCAGCGCUAGGGUUUGGGUCAGGGUUCGGAGCUGGGGACGAGGAGGAGGAGGAGGAGGAGGAGGAGAGGGGGCGAUUAGGGUUAGGGUUGAGGAGGAGGGAACGGGGAGAGGGGAGAGAGAGGAGGCGCUUGGGUGCGAGUCUCAUUUCCUACUAAAACUGGAAAACGAGGAGGGGAAAGAGAAAUGGCGAUCGAGCUCACCAUCAUCAAUUCAUCAUCAUCAUAUUCAUGCGAAACAAAGAAGAGAAUGGUUAAUUUGCACCGCGAGUAACUUUUCAACUGAAUUUUUCAUUUCGGUCCUUAAAAUUUUACAUUUCACAAUCAAAAUCUCUCUCUCUCUCUCUCUCUAUUUUACCGCAAUUUUGCCGCAGGAAGAAGCUGCUGCAUAAAACUUCGACGAAGUGAAGUGCUGCUUUUAAUUUCACGCAUUAUUUCGUACAAAAUUACUUUCAGAAAUAAUGUUACAAAGAAGCUCAAUGAUCUGCAUCAUAUAAAUAAAUUUCUGCGUGUUAAAAAUAACUUCAGAUAUAUCAGUUAAAACAUCAAUAUGACUUUUAAAUUUGGCCCUAAAGAUAACAUCUGGCCAUGUUUAUUCAUACAAAUCCCAAAAAGAAACAGUCCAAGAACUCAUGAUCCAGUUAAAUGAAGCUCCAGUUCCAGUGUAAGUCACGAUCUAUUAGUCCCUUCAAAAAUUUAUUUAUCUUUUGCCUUCAAGAUUACUGUCAAACUUUAAACCCCUCGGCGCGGAGGCACUGUUUAUGGGCUUCAAUCCACUUCCCGCAGGCAGCCUCGCCGUGCUCCACGAUGCAUUCGUCUCUCAGCUUCUUCGUAUCUGGGCAGGCGCAGCAUAUCUUCUUUUUAGGCUUUGAUUCCGGGGGCGGAUUAGGUGAGGUCAGAGCCUCGCUUGCAGCUGGGGGUUGGGGCAAUUUCAAUGGCAACGGCAUCCCGACCUCUACGUUGCUCGUCUUUGCCAUUUGUUCCGAAGUAAGGAAGUGAACUGCAAAACAUUCAAGACAGAGUUAAACCAUAAUGCACCUUGCCUGAUUUUCCGAACUCGUAAUUUUCGGGUUAUCACCGUAGGAGAGAGGUCAUCGUAGUUGCCGUAGGAUGCAGAUUUAAGUGAGAAAAUUUUCAUGACGGAAUAUGUUCCACAAAUGGCAUCCCAAAUCCAAAAAAGGAAACUUCACAAUUUAAUAACUAAAUAGUCCACCUAAAGUACAAGAAUGACAACGCGAUUAUGACCAAAUCAUCCACAUACAAUUACUCAGUCGAAUAACAUCUCCGACGAAGAAUACACCUAAUAAUAGGUUUCUGUAAAAUAGAAAGGGAAAACUGAAUCAUUUCCUGGAAUAACAGAUCAUAAUUUAGGGUAUAGAAAGGUAGCGCGCAAAUGUGAGGAUUUGUAAAUUUACUAAACAGACCGAAGCAUUUCCUUUUAAAACAAGCCAUGGACGAGGGAACACGAAUCCAAUAACAGAAGAACACAUGGUCUUGGUUAGUUUUGGAAAAGUAACAAAUUAUGAUUAUAAUAGAGACAAAUACAAAUCACCAUAGCCCGCUAGUUCAACUAUAACAGAGUCUAACAGGAAAGCACGACUAAUUACAUAUUCCAAUUAUUUUUAUAAAAAAUUUUCGAAAAAAAAAACACAAAGUCUAGCUUAUCCACAGGUACGCAGGGAAAGUUUUUUAGCCGUUGUCUAUAGUACCAUACAACUUCCAUGAACGGUUAUACAUAUAGAUAUAGAAUGAAAUUUUUAUAAGUAUUUCUUGUUUGUUCCCUGUAAACCAGGCAGGCGGCAAGCAAAAUGCUUGACAAAGAAAAAAGUGGCAAGAAAAGAAUGAGAGUGCAUAAGCAUAAUUAGGACAAGAUAAUGACAAAAGGAUGACAAGCACUUGCCUUUGAACAUCAACACGGAUAUGAAAGUUUCAAGAACGGGAAGGCAUUUUUGAAGGUCCAAAAACAGUAAGACCUUUCACAUUGACACAGCAGCAGGAGAUGCGCGUGACUAUGCAAUUAAGAUAUGAUAAAGCUGAUCCGACACAAGCUAAGUAACAGCGAAACAUGAUAAUUUUCAUGAAACAAANGGCGACGGAGAGGGCGGCGAGGUAGGCCUCCGGCGGGUGGCGGUAGCCGGGGCGGAGCGAGGCCCAGCGGAAGAGGUCGAGUGCGAGGUCGGGGUCGGCGGCGGCGCGCACCGCCGCCGCGACGUCGGCGCCGGUGAACCCCGGGCGGAGGCGUUCCACCCAGUUCGCGAACUGCUGCUCCAGCGGGGUGAGCCCGCGAGGACCAGCGCUAGGGUUUGGGUCAGGGUUCGGAGCUGGGGACGAGGAGGAGGAGGAGGAGAGGGGGCGAUUAGGGUUGGGGUUGAGGAGGAGGGAACGGGGAGAGGGGAGAGAGAGGAGGCGCUUGGGUGCGAGUCUCAUUUCCUACUAAAACUGGAAAACGAGGAGGGGAAAGAGAAAUGGCGAUCGAGCUCACCAUCUCAUGCGAAACAAAGAAGAGAAUGGUUAAUUUGCACCGCGAGUAACUUUUCAACUGAAUUUUUCAUUUUGGUCCUUUAAAUUUUACAUUUCACAAUCAAAAUCUCUCUCUCUCUCUCUCUCUCUCUCUCUUUUUUACCACAAUUUUGCCGCAGGAAGAAGCUGCCGCAUAAAACUUCGACGAAGUGAAGUGCUUCUUUUAAUUUCACGCAUUAUUUCGUACAAAAUUACUUUCAGAAAUAAUGUUACAAAGAAGCUCAAUGAUCUGCAUCAUAUAAAUAAAUUUCUUCUCAGUUAAAAGUAACUUAAGAUAAAUCAGUUAAAACAUCAAGAUGACUUUUAACUUUGACCCUAAAGAUAACAUCUGGCCAUGUUUAUUCAUGCGAAUCCCAAAAAGAAACAGUGCAUGAUUCAGUUAAAUGAAGCUCCAGUUCCUGUGUAAGUCACGAUCUAUUAGUCCCUUCAAAAAUUUAUUUAUCUUUUGCCGUCAAGAUUACUGUCAAACUUUAAACCCCUCGGCGCGGAGGCACUGUUUAUGGGCUUCAAUCCACUUCCCGCAGGCAGCCUCGCCGUGCUCCACGAUGCAUUCGUCUCUCAGCUUCUUCGUAUCUGGGCAGGCGCAGCAUAUCUUCUUCUUAGGCUUUGAUUCCGGGGGCGGAUUAGGCGAGGUCAGAGCCUCGCUUGCAGCUGGGGGUUGGGGCGAUUUCGACGGCAACGGCAUCCCGACCUCUACAUUGCUCAUCUUAGCCAUUUGUUCCGAAAUAAGAAAAGUAAACUGCAAAACAUUCAAGACAGAGUUAAACCAUAAUGCACCUUGCCUGAUUUUCCGAACUCGUAAUUUUCGGGUUAUCACCGUAGGAGAGAGGUCGUCGUAGUUGCCGUAGGAUGCAGAUUUAAGUGAGAAAACUUUCAUGAUGGAAUAUGUUCCACAAAUGGCAUCCCAAAUCCAAAAAAGGAAACUUCACAAUUUAAUAACUAAAUAGUCCACCUAAAGUACAAGAAUGACAACGCGAUUACAACCAAAUCAUCCACAUACAAUUACUCAGUCGAAUAAUAUCUCCGACGAAGAAUACACCUAAUAAUAGGUUUCUGUAAAAUACAAAGGGAAAACUGAAUCAUUUCCUGGAAUAACAGAUCAUAAUUUAGGGUAUAGAAAGGUAGCGCGCAAAUGUGAGGAUUUGUAAAUUUACUAAACAGACCGAAGCAUUUCCUUUUAAAACAAGCCAUGGACGAGGGAACACGAAUCCAAUAACAGAAGAACACAUGGUCUUGGUUAGUUUUGGAAAAGUAACAAAUUAUGAUUAUAAUAGAGACAAAAAAAAUUACCAUAGCCCACUAGUUCAACUAUAACAGAGUCUAACAGGAAAGCACGACUAAUUACAUAUUCCAAUUAUUUUUAUAAAAAAUUUUCGAAAAAAAAAACACAAAGUCUAGCUUAUCCACAGGUACGCAGGGAAAGUUUUUUAGCCGUUGUCUAUAGUACCAUACAACUUCCAUGAACGGUUAUACAUAUAGAUAUAGAAUGAAAUUUUUAUAAGUAUUUCUUGUUUGUUCCCUGUAAACCAGGCAGGCGGCAAGCAAAAUGCUUGACAAAGAAAAAAGUGGCAAGAAAAGAAUGAGAGUGCAUAAGCAUAAUUAGGACAAGAUAAUGACAAAAGGAUGACAAGCACUUGCCUUUGAACAUCAACACGGAUAUGAAAGUUUCACUAACGGGAAGGCAUUUUUGAAGGUCCAAAAACAGUAAGACCUUUCACAUUGACACAGCAGCAGGAGAUGCGCGUGACUAUGCAAUUAAGAUAUGAUAAAGCUGAUCCGACACAAACUAAGUAACAGCGAAACAUGAUAAUUUUCAUGAAACAAAACUUAGUAGGCCCAUUAAAGCUUAUCUAAUAUUGGUAAAUUUCCUUAGGACUUACUGAGCUUUUAUGACUAUGAAAAACAAUCAGGUUAAAGAAGCAAACAGUUACUGCAUAUCAAUCUAGAUUUCUUAUAAACUAAAAUUACUUUAAAGACAACUGCUUUCACCCUUAUUGAAAAAAUAAAAAAUAAAAUAAAAAAUCCACAGAAUGAUUUUACCAUCAUGACUACUAAUAAUUUCACACAAAUGGCAUUUGGUUCUAUGUUUGCAGGGGCCAAAUGAAUGAUUAGUCCAAAAGAACACUCCGAUAGUCUGUUUAAAAAGAUUCACAAAUGGCCAUACGCGGGGCACCCAAAGGAACACCUUCAAAGCCGCAAACAUGAUUCCAAAUGAACCGAUGGUAAUUAGAAAGAGCAAACUGAUUUAUCCUCUAUAUACCAGAAAAUUUUGGCUACCUAGUUUUAGCCCAAAAUUAAUGCCCUGAUCCUUUCCUCCCUAUUAUCUAGCCAUAUAACAAUUUCUAGGACCAAAAACUUGCUGUCAGAAGAUAUAUCUGUUACCUCUCAUUGUUCCCAGAAUCCAAACUACAUAAAGUGCACAAUUCCAACUUUUAGGACAUUACAAAUUUUUAAGCGUUUGUGAUGGCAAUAAUGUUAGCCAAUCAAUUUUAAUCUUAUGAGGUAGAUUUUUUUUUCCCCCUAAAAGACUAACUUUACAAGUUCCAUUUUGGUCCAUCAAAUUGAGUUACAUCUUUACGAGGAACAGAGUAAUAUCACAACUUACAACUGCACGGUGAGUUUGAUAACGCGCGCCACUUUUCUAACUUUUCCAUUUCACUAACCGCAAUCAAGAACUCAAUGCGGUACCUUGUUUACGGCAAUCCUUUUCUUCUCAGAAAACACUAACAAUUACCAAACCUAUCUCGCACCCUAAAAACUUUAAAGAAAAAUCUUCCAACAUUAAAAUGUUUUAGUAAAUAAACCAUUGUUCUCUCAAAGCUUAAACUUUCAUUGAACGGUAUUUUUCAUAUUUAUAUCCAACACUGCCCCUCACAUCUAGAUAUGAAAUUUUUUGAUAGGCUCAAGACAUGAACUUCAAUUAAAUAAGACAAAAGCUAAGUAACUCUAGGAGCCUUGCGACGCUCGGAACUCAGGACAACAUGCUCCGAUACCAUGUUAAAAAUUGUAAAACAACCGUUGUUCUUAAGCUUCUAGAGAAUGAUAUUUUUAACAUUAUAUUCAACAAAGAGAACAUCCAAUUAUUUUGACACCAAAUCGUCGUCUUCAACCAAUCCGUCGUCUAUAGAAUAUGUGCAAUUUAAAAAAUUUUAUUCAGCAGUAAGGGAAAAUUCAAUAACCCUUCAAAUGAUCUCAACUUUGCCUCUUUCCACAUUAAAACUCUCACCUUUUUUUCUAUUUCUACUAAUUCAGAAAUAUGAAGUUGCCACACACAGACAUUUCAACAAACACCUGAUAUGCCCAUCUCACGAACCCCGACUGAACACAAAAAAACAUUUUUUUCUAAAAAAAAAUCCAUGACCAAUCCAUAUAACCUAUUCAUCUCAAAGAGAACGAUCGAUCAUAAACCAAUUCCUUCAAUUUUUUAACAGGAUUUUUUUUUUCAGCGAUCAAAAAUGCUUACUUCGACACGAAACUAACAAUUAAUAUACGGAAAAAGAAAGAGGACUAGGAAAAAUGAAUUAAUAGUUUAAAAUCAGAUCGAAAGAAUUUUUUUUUAAAAAAAAAGGAGGAAAAAAAAUUAAAAAAAUUUACCUGGGAAACUUCGAUUCUUCGAGAAGUAGCCCCACAAUCGCCGAUGUAGUCCUCGCGCCUCUGGAAGCUUCUAAAAUACUCGGGAAACAAAUUGGUGACACACACGGUUCAAUUUGGUUUUUUUUUAUUCCGAACCAGAUGAACCGGGUUGGGCUAAAUAUUUACUGUUCCUGGUGCAAGAAAACACUGGAGAGUGCUUUUUUUUUGGGGUGGGGUUCUAAAUUAUUCAUUUGCACCUGGUCCACGCAAUAACCUCCUAAGCAUGGGUGAAAAAUGUAAAGAGGCCCCUCAAUUAUGGGACGUUCUAAGAUACUUCCCUUCACCCUAGUAUUUUUUAUUGAUUGAGUUCCAUUAAAUUUAAUAAUUUUAAUCACUUAUUAGCAAAUAAAACUAGGUUAGUUAACGAUUAAUAACUCAUAGAGUGAUUAAAUUUGGUAAUAUUUUUAAUUUAAAUAAAAAUUAGAAGUUGAGGGACCUCAACUAUAAAUAAAAAGAGUUGAGGGCUUUCUCAGAAUAGUUUAUAGUUGAGGAAUUUUACAUUGUUUACUGAGAGCCCUUUUUUCUUUUUUGAGACUAUUUUUGGGCACAGAUAAAAAUAUGACAGCUACAGGUAAAAUAACCAAAUUCCUAGUAAAAGUUUCUUUAGUAGAGAGUACAUUUUCGCAUUGACAUUAAACACACAACAAUCCACAAAAGAGAUACAAAAAAACAAAAAAGAAUACAUUUUUCUAUUUAAAAUAUGAAAUGUUCAUUGUUGUAAAGUGGAUUUGUAACUUCUAAAGCUGCUGCUAUUAAGUUAUUGCCAAUUCCUUCGAUUUCGUAUAAUACGACGAUCGCCGACAUAUCCCUUCUGAAAUUGUCUCGACUUACUCUCGGAAGAGAUUUUAUACCCAGAAGAAACCGAUUCGCCAUUUGCAGAGUGUUGGAUUGAUUAAACAAAACUCCAACUUGAUCUAAGAAGAGUUUUUCAGAACCCAUUCUACCAAAGUCGACACUCCGAACCCUGUCGCAGCGCGCUUCUUAUCAUUCCACACUGGCCCCGCCAUAUCGAUAUGCAGCCACUGGACCUUCUCAUCGACGAACUGCAAAUGUAGGAGCAAAUUCAGGUUUAGUUCAAUAACUGCUAUUUCAUCUGUAUGAAAAAUUCCUACAUGAUUAAUAAAACAAAAGGAAGGAAAUGAAAAGGAUGGCAAACCUGCUUCAGGAAAAGUGCAGCAGUGAUAGCACCGCCUUGACGACCUCCGGUGUUGACCAUGUCAGCUACGCCUGAUUUCAUCGACUCCCAAUAGCUUUCCUCCAGCGGCAUUCUCCAGAGCUUUUCGCCGGAGAUCUCUGAUGCUGCUACAAUCUCCUUGGCUAGAUCAUCAUUGGGUGUGAAAAAACCUACAUAAAUAAAGAAAACCUUUGUCUUAAUGUUCAGAAAAGGAGCGCUUCGGUACGAUUCUGAUUUAUGGGGGGAAAAACAAUAAAAAGAGGAAAGAUUUUUCUAGGUUAUACUGCAAAAGAAAAGCACUGUAGAAGAGAAAACAACUCUAAGAACGCAAGGGACCAUGCCGACACAUUUUGACAUAGAUUUUUUUUCUUUCCUUUUCUUUCUUUUUUUUUUUUGAGUAACAAACUAACAAUCUAUUCUAAUAAUUCUGAAAUGCGUUUUUAUAACAGCUUUUGUACUAGAUGGAAUUACUUGUUAAUUCAAAUAAAAUUUCUCAGAGUUGUUGAGGAUCGAUAAGUUUACCUGCAAUACUUGGCCCGAGAGCAACAAUGCAAGCUCCAGUUAGUGUUGCCAGAUCAACAAUCUGCAUGUAAUAGUAGAUGAAAUAUCAAAAUAACAGAAUCAAAAAUAAUGAAAAGUAAUGUAAACAAAUCGUAACAAUGAAACAGAGUAUGGUAUAAAUAGCGUCAUUGAAGGAAUAUGAUAGUAAGAUAUGGAUGUAUUAUUGUUCUCAUUGAAAUUAUGUUGAGGCGUACUUGAUUAUCUUUUCGGCAAACUCACUCAUGUUUUGAAGGCAAAAAAGAGUUUGCUUCUAUGUCGUGAAAUUUUGGUCUUCAUGCCACACUAGUAAUUGAUGUUGGUAACCAAAACUGAUGCAAAUAAAGAUCUACCGAAAGAUCAAGAAAAACGGCAUUUAAAUGAAACAUAAAAAAAACAACUCAACAAUACGCCAUUACCUUUUCAACACCUUGGUUACAAGCAUAUAUCAAAGCAUCAGCGAGUGUAAGCCUUCCCUCCGCAUCAGUGUUAUUCACCUGAAAGACAACAAAAAAAAGAAAAGGUUCACACGUGCUACAUGGACCCAUAAUUGGAAAUUAACAUAAUAAGAGCAGGUCCGUAGCGAAUGCGUAAGGGGCACUCCUGCAAAUGCUGAAGAUAUAACAACAACUAUCCCUACUACUUUGGGUUAUUUAAGCUGCAUAAACAAAAGAUAAAGAAUGAGGUAUACUUUCUAUUGAUAGAAUAUUAAAGGGAAAACUUCAAAAACUCCCCUUGUGGUUUUGUAGUUUCUCACUUUGCCGCCCUGUGGUUUCGUUUUUAUCUUUUCGGUUGUUUUUUCGUUAAUAUUUCAUUAAAUUAUAUACAAAAAACUUCAGAUACCCAUCUAGAUUUAUCAAAUAUUCACUUUAGUACCCUUUAAUUUUAAAUUUAUCACUAAUUUAAGAAAAAAAAAAUAAUGAAAUUGAUAAGAAAAAGAGAAAAAAGAAACCACAGGGGGGCAAAUUGAUACAUUUUAAACCACAGGGGGGCAAAGUGAGAAACUACGAAACCAUAGGGGGGGUUUUUGAAGUUUUCCCAAUAUUAAACUAGUAAAAUGUGAUAAAUUCUUCGAAGGGCGAUAAAAGAAGCCAUCAAUAAAGUAGAUCAUGAAAAGCUCUGAUGGACCAAAAGAGUAGAUGCUGUUUCAACUACUAACAUAUUUAUAACAAGAAAAAAAAUGAAGUCACAGAAAAAGUCCCGCAAAAAAGAAAAGAAAAGGAAAAAGAAAGAUCUUACACUACGUUCCCAAAUGUUCUGGAAGAUAAUCAAACUACUUCAAAUUGGAAUUAUCGUUCUUUCUUCAUUUUUGAGAUUAAAAUAUUCCAGUAAAUGGCAAGAUUAGGAAAAAGUUCUCUUCCAUGCCUGAGUAAUUAAUUACAGGAAACUAAUUACCUCAAUUGUUUUUCCAUUUGAAGCUGUGACAAUGUCACCUGGUCUCAUGCCUGUGCCACUGAUCAUAUUUUCACAGGCAGCAACAAUAAAAUGAACCUGGAAGCAGAGAAGUAACUAAGAGUACUUAGAAAAGGAAAAAAAAAAUUGACACUGUUAAAUAUAAAAAUGUUUAAACACCGUUCUCUAACAGCUUAAGCUUUUAGAGUACAACGAUUGUUUCACAUGGUAUCAGAGCAGGAGGUCCUGAGUUCGAGUCACGCCAGGCUCCUAGCAUAUUAAUUUCCUCCCAUUUAAUUCAAGCCCACGUCAUGGACCGAUUAAAAAAAGUUUCGAGCCCAGACGUGAGGGGGAGUGUUAAAUAAAAAAAUGUUUAAACACCGUUCUCUAACAGCUUAAGCUUUUAGAGUACAACGGUUGUUUCACAGACACCAAUUCGUUGAUAUUUGCGAAAUGCAAUUCCACCAAAUAUAUAAGAAAUUACCUCUACUCCUGGAGGUUUGAUUUGACCAAUGGCUUUUGCCGCACCAAAAGUAGCUGCAGAACCUCCCAUAUCAAACUUCAUCAACUCUAUCAUAGAGCCUGGCCCAGCCUUUAUGUUGUAACCACCACUACAGGAUCAAAAAUGAAAUAACUAUUUAAUAAUUCACACAAAUAAUUUGCUGUUUAACUAACAUAGAAGGCAAACUGAAUUAGUACGAGCAAAAAGUCUGGUGAGUAAAUGACAUAAUAUUUAUGGUGACUAAUCAUCAGUUAGAAGUGGGGCUGAAAAAUUGGACCAGGUUCAGUUCAUCAAGUCAGCGUGAUUCCAGUCCAAAUCAUUAUGAAUGAGCACUGCACAUUUUUUUCAUACCACUCAAACAGUAAGUUCUGUGAUCAACAAAAUGAGAAAUCACCUAUCGAAGGUUAAUCCCUUCCCAACUAUAGCUAAUUUUCUCUUCACAUCACCAUUUGGGGGUGUAUAACGUAAGUGGAUAAAGUGAGGGGGGUUUGAAGAUGCUGCAGCAACGGCUAAGUAUGAUCCCAUCUUUAAUUCUUUACAUUGCUCGGCAUCUAAUAUUGUUGCAGUGAAAACAUCACUGUACGUUGAUGCAACUUUUGAAGCCUCUUCAGCGAGAGCACCUGAAAGGCAAGUCAGGUUUUUACGAGAAAAUUCACAAAUUUCUGCUGAAAAAAUAACAAAUUAGGAAGGGAAAAAGGAUGCUGCAUAAUUACACCACAGUAAGUACAGAAGAAAGUUUGCUAACCAGGAGUUAGCACAUUUGCAGGUGCAUUAACAAGCUCUUUUCCAAAAAUUACUCCAGUACAAACAUCACUUGCAUACUUGAGCUUCUGGUCCAGCUCUGGUCCGCUACCCAGGCCAAUAAUAUCUACAGCUUUAAGUUGUAUCUUUUUGGACUCUGAUUUAAACCUGCUAUCUUCAUGCACACCUAGCACAGUUCCUGCAAAAUAUUACUACAUGAGAUGUCUAAAGGUGAUCCGAUGCCCCAUCCAGUAAAUACUGAACACAUUAUUUCACCAGCUAUAUUCAUUCUGCUUCCAUAUAUUUCAGAAAAGGCCUUUAAAGUAGAGUUUUCUCGCGGACUUAAAAGCCUGGACCACACCUGAAUUUAACUUGGGUAGGAUAGGGGAAUGUUUUAUAGGGUAAAAUGUACAGGUACUCCCUGAACUAUCCUGAUAUUGUCUUAGAACCUGAACUUCUCCCUCAAAUACUUUAGCCCCUGAACUUUCUCAUAUUAUGCAAUUCUAUCCCUAGCCACUAAAAUAUCUGAUAAAAAGUGAACUUUUCAUAUAAAUGGCUUUUAUAACCCUGUUGCAAAUACCCUGAAACAAGAAAACCAUUUUACAGUACGGAUAAGAUGGUCGUUUGAAGAAAAAUACUAUCAUUUUAUGUCAUGGAUGGAAUUGCAAUAAAUGAGAAAUUGCAAGGCUAAAGUGUUUAAGUGAAAAUGUUCAGGAACCAAGUCGCAAUGUCGGGAUUAUAUUGGGACUAUCCUUAUACUCUAUUUUUUAUUACCUAAUCUGACCCAAAUGGCCAUACUCAACCUGGGCACAACCCAUUUCAGAAGGUGCAAAGUUAUGGAUUUUUUUCACAAAAUCCUUUCCAUUCUAGGUACCUCAUUAAUACUCAAACCCGACCAAGCCCAACCCAUAGCACUUCUUCUACCUUCCAAUCAUGAUGCCGGGUAAUUUACUAGGUAAAGGUUAUAUAGAACAUACCAGAAGCGAUGGCUGAAGCAGCAUUUAGCUUGGACUCUUGCGAUACUCCAUUUGCAGAUGCAAAAACAAUAGCAACAUUACUUGCUUGAGCUGUCUUCGCCACUGCUGCAACAGCCUCGCCAAUGCCCUGAUAAGCUGUUGUACUGGAUGGCGAAUGCUGGCCUAACCCAACUAGACCUAUUCUCUUAAAGCCCAAGCCUGGCAAGCGGAGAACCGUUGACUGUCCAGAUUUCCCAGUAAAGUCCUCCUCUGCAGAAGCUUCUGCCAAAAGGCCGCCGAGCUUCUCGUCCAAUCUUUUUAAGGUCAAAUUCUCAAAUUUUGAAUUUGAAUCUUUUGACAUAUCUUUCUCCGAGACGGCUACCGCAAGAAUAUCUCCUUUCCAUUCUGCAAAAUCUAUCUCUUUUGCUGAAAAGGUGAUCUGCAUAAGAUUUUCGAAGAGUUUCAAGUUAAUUUUCUGGCAUCCUCCAAGACAAAGAAGAUCCAAAGUGUGAUUGUCCAAGACCAUGCGAAGCAUAAAUUAUUUUGUUAGUGCAGGGAGAAUUUGCCUAUGGCACACAUGCUACAAGACCUAACAUUUUCUAAAGUCUAUGGUUGGUUUUGCUAUCUAAUAUACCAUAAAAAAGAAUACUGUUAAGAUCAUUCUUCAAAUGUAUGUACACCAUAACUCAAGUCCACAAAAUCAUCAUUGAUCCAAUAGGCAAAAUGUACAUCAAGCAGACCAAAUAGCAAUAAUAUUAAUCUGUACAAUAAUUUAAAACAAAAGAUACAGGUAAUAAAUAAAAAUAGAGAACAACUCAUCAUAUUUCUUAAUAGCCACAUCCAAAAAAGAGGAAAAUGAAAUCUUUCUAAUGAAAUACCCCAAGAAAAAAAGGACAAUUUCCCCUAGAACCCAUAAGUCUAAUGUGUUCCUUGGUAAGACAUUUCAUCAAACCAUUAGCGUCCAAGACAACACCACCACAUCACAUGCAAAAACCAACAUGAUGGAGUAGGCAAGAAAACAACCUGAGGGGCCUCAACAACGUUGGGCUUUACAAGACCGAGAGUGGAAAUGAAUGGAAAUGAAGAAUAACUUAGCAUAUUUCCUAAUAUCGACAUCUAAAAAUGAGGAAAAAAGCGAUCUUUCCAGGAAAAUUUAUAAAUAAAAAAAAUCUCAAAUUUGCCUAAAGACUAAAAAUCAUAAGCCUAAUGUGUUCCUCGGUGAGACAUUUCACUAUUUAGUUAGCAUCCAAGAGACCAAGACACAUCACCAAUAUUAUCCACAAAGCAUCAACGUGGCAGUGAACAGGGAAACGACCUCAACUGCGUUGGGCUUCGCAAGGCCGGUGGCGGAAAUGAAUGGAAACAUAGAACAACUCCUCCUAUUUCUUAAUACACACACACCCAGAAAACAAGAAAAGAUGUAAUUUUUCCAAGGAAAAAACAAGCAAACUCAAAUUUCGUUCUUCAGUGAGACAUUUCAUCAAACAGUUAGUGUCCAAGUCACACCAGCACAUACACACCCACAAAACACCAACCUGGGGAAUGGGCAAGAGAACGACCUGAGGGGCCUCAACUGCGUUGGGCUUAGCGAGGGCGGUAGGAAGUGAAUGGAAACAGAGAACAAUUCCUCCUAUUUCUUACUACACACACCCAGGAAAACAGAAAAGAUGCAAUUUUUUCCCUAUAUUUUCGUUCUUCAGCGAGACAUUUCAUCAAACAGUUAGCAAGUCACACCACCACGUACACACCCACAAAACACCAACGUGAGGAACGGGCAAGGAAACGAACCUGAGGGGCCUCAACGGCGUUGGGCUUCGUGAGCCCGAGAGCGGCGCGUGCGGCGGCGGCGGAGUGGCCCAUCCGAACGGCGGCGCCGCGGCGGAGGCGGCCGGGGAGGAGGAGGGCGGAGGAGAUUGGGCAGCGGAGCGCGGCGGCGGCGACGCGGUGGGCGGCGGCGGAGGAGGCGAGGGAGGAGUAGCAGAGGCGCGAGGCGAGCACGGUGACCGUUGAAGCAGCAGCGGUGGGAGCGAUGGCACCCGCCAUGGUUGGGGGCUCCCGCUAUUUAUUUCUCUCGCUCGUUAUCAUCACCACCUCGUCGAAUCCGCCCCGUCCACCAUUUCUAGUUGGGAAAAAACUUAUCGAGACCACCCUCAACUAUACGGAAUUAUGAAAUUAGGCCCUCAACUUUUCUUUUGUGUUAAUUACAUAUUUAUCGCUAAAAAGAAAUAAAAUUACAUACUCGUCCAUACAAAAUUUUAGUCAUUUGCACUCAAACUUUGCCAUUUGAACUUUUCCCAGAAGUUAGUAACUUUCGCCUUUAAAAUAGUAUAUAUUUGUGUGUGUGGACACAGGAGCCAACUUUAACUUCCUAGUAAGAAAAAGUUUCAAGAAUUUUUAUUCGUCGAAUGUUUAAACCAGUAUAAUUUGGAAUAAAGAAGUUGAUCCAAGAACAAGAUAGAACAGUCAUCAGAUGUGCUCGCAGGUGAACAUACUUAAAUCUUUGAGUUCUUUUGAACUUGAUAGCAUUUGAUUUUGUUUUGGGCAUAAAAGCACAUUUUACCGUCACGCAAAAGCGAAGGAAAAUUCUAUUUCAUUCAUUCAAAAGAGAGAGAAAAAGAAAAGGACAUAAUUCUGAAUAAUACAGAUACAAACUCUUAUAAGGAAUUUAACAUUCUUGGCUUCUACAAGGAUUACUGUUCUCUCAACUAUAUGAAGGAAAAAAGAAAAUGUACAAACUGUCAUAUGUGACCUUCAGGUAGCCUAAGAACUUCAACAUCAAAUGAUGAUGAAACAAUUUACCAACAUUUGACAUGCCACAUACCUCAAGGAAACUGAAUAUCUGAACCCAAAAAAAAUGAUAAUAACAUGUCAUAAGAAAGCAUAAAGAACGAAAAAGUAAUGCUUAUAAUCCACAUAACCACGCGGCCGCAAACUAAUACCAGAGUUUAAUAAGUGAAGAAUAGCAGCAUGUACCAUACGAUUUUCGUAUAUAUAAAAGGCCCACAUCAGUUGUAACCCACAGGUACGAGAGUGCGCCGACACCGUGGCUCACCAGAAUACAUUUGACAACCGUUUCGCUCGCUCUGCAUCCUUUUAGUUUGUUUCGAUCUGCCUUGUCACUUCAAGCGAAUCAAGGUACAUAAGGUACCCUUAUCGGCCAAUCAAUCAUGCAUUACAUGGCAUAUUAAUUGUCGAACAUAGCGCACUAGACCGAAAUUUUCUGGCUCCAAAUCAGGCCAACAAUGUCAUUCGCGAAAGAUUGCAUAGUUAAAGUCUUAUGAUGUAAUCGAACCGGACAAACUUUGACUUCAGGGAGUACGAAUGCAGAGCGCUAUUAGGAACAACUAGAACCUUUCAACAUUGCAGAAAAUAACAGCGAAAGGAAAUAGAUCAGAAGCGAUAAUUCGAGGAGGAGGAGAAACAGGCAGAAGCUCUCACCUCGGGUUAAUAUACGUUCAUCGAAAUUAGUCGCGAUCACAAUGCGGGUUCAAGUUGUUAGAUCCAAUCCACAAAAUGAACAGCGAUCUAUGUUAUCUACACGAAGCAUUGAUGGUAAUGCAUGCGAUACUGUCGGUACAACUUCUCACAAUAGAACUCAUUCAGAGGUGUGUUGAUAGUUUACGUAAGGAUACACAAAACAGCAGAUUAUAUCUAUCUGCUUGGAUGUUCAAGCUGCACUUCUGUUCUUCCAAACGGAUCAGGAUCGGGUCCUAAAACUGUUUUGUGAGGACGCAACAGAUUGACUAUAUCAUCAUCAUCCUCAGCGUCCCCUAAUCUCCAAGCUCCUCUCGAAUAAUUACUAUCCCUUCUCCUCCGUUUCAAUUCUAGGUGUUCCAAGUGCAAAACAACCGAAACGCCUAUCAAAAUCCACAGCACUAGAGCCCACGUGAGCCGUUCAGCGAGUUCACUAUCGUGCCUGUCCCCAAAAUGCUUCAGUCCACUAAAGAGCGCAGCUACUCCAACUAUAAUCGCACUCCGUCCUGAUAAACUAUGAGUGUUCUCCCAGAUUCUUCUUCUCAUUGAAGCAGGCUCGUUAUUUGGUCGGAAAUAUGCAUUUAUUGGCUGAACAACAACCAGUAUUAUCGCGGCCACGCCAAAUUUAGUAUGCAUGGAGCUAAUAAAAAUUCCCCCAAGCUCCGCAGCUGCGAGAAAAAUUGAGAAAACCACGACAGCUAAUCCGGUGUACUGCAAAAAUACAUGUACUCGGUACCACUUAUCGCCGUUCAAAUGUUUUAGGAACCUCGCGGUCAAUAUCCCUGUAGGAAAUAUAACACCCCAGGAAACAAACAUCAUAAAUCCAUGAAUAGCUAAAACCUGCCUCAAAUCCUUCUCCGCCUCCGCCAAUCCUCUAAGCAGCAUAAUGCGCUCAGGGCUAUCACUCAUAACCGAAUGCAUGUUCCCUGAACUCAAAUGGGUCUCCGACCAGCGGUCCCCCAUCGCCCAAAUCACCUUCAAAGGCUUCGUCGGAUCAAUCACAUUCUCGCACUCUACCUUCCCGCUACACGAAGGCGAUAACGGUCGGGUAAACUCGAACAAAAUCGCGCCAUUUUCCGAUCUGCAUUGAACAUGUGUUAAGUUCUCUAAGGUUAAAUGCAGAUUCGACGGGCCGCGGCCGUUGAUGUAGUACGAGCUCACUCGGCCUUUCCCCUCGUGAUCUAUCCAACCUACAUAGGCAUAACUAUUAACCAUCCGAUCGCCGAGCCCAAUCGCGAGGUACCCGCUUCUCCUCUCGCCCCGAGCCGCGAUUGAGAUGGACCCAUUAGACAAUUUCCAAAAGAAGGUAACUUCCAUAUCAUCCAACCCCACACUAUUGUUAUACCUAUAGGUAAAAUCCCCAUCUUCGAUCAAAAACCUUGGUGUUACACCCUUUUCGAGAGGCUUCUCCUCCGCUUCGAGUGGUUCAGGACAUUCGUCGAACACCUCAGACGCAUUGAGGAUGAUGCGCCCGAAGGAGAUUCCAUGAUCAUCGGGGAGGUAAUAGGGGCGCCGCAUCGGGCCCGAAGCCCACGCCACGGACACGGCAGCGACGGGGGGCGAGAGGGGGAGGCGGAAGCGGAAGUAGGAGACGCCGGCGCGCCGGCGCGCGCACACCAACCGCGCGUUCUCGGAGCGGUUGCGCGCGGCGCCGAGGGAGCAGGGGGCGUGGGCGGUGGCGAAGAAGUCGGCGACGAAGGGGGCGCCGCGGGGCGAGAACCCGGCGACGACUACGUCGUCGGCGAGGAGCGGGGGCGCGGCGGCCCAUCCGAGGGCGAGGUAGUGGUCGAGGGGGACCGCGGCUUCGAGGGCGAUCUCCAUGGAUCGGAGCUCGGGGACGAGGGUCCAGUGGAGGCGGAAGGUGGGGGAGAGGAGUCGGCAGCUGGAGAGCGGAGAGGGAGGAGUCGGCGCCGAGCUCGUUGAAGCGGAGAAGAGGAGGAGGAGGAGGAGGAGGAGGAGGAGGGGGAGUGGCGUAGGAGACGACGCCAUUAGAGGGCUCGUGGAGAAGCUCGGGGACGACGAAGAGGAUGGAGACGUAGUUAAUACUUGUCUAUGGAAGUUACAUGUCACGGUUAUAUUACAUAUCCAUGGUAAAAAUGUAUAGAGACCCCUCAACUAUAGAAUAUUGUGAAUUUAACCUCUCAACUAUUUUGUUCAGGUCAACGCAAUUGUUGCUUUAGAUUUUUUUUCUAAUUUAAUAAAUAUAUUAAUUGUUAUCAAUUAAUCGCUUUAAUUACUUGCUAAAAGUUAAUUAAAUCUAUUAAAUAUGAUGCUAUUAUUAAUAAAUGGUAAAAAAAAGAUUACAAAAAUGUGAAUUUGAGGUGUUACUUUGAAAAAGUCCUAUAGUUGAGGGGUUUCCCAUUCUCUUUCUACAUAUAUCAAUUUUUUUUAGCUUGUAUGUCACUGUUGUGUGUGGGCCCACAUGUCAGUGUGAGGGAAAGGUGAUAUGUAACCGUUGUACGGGAGAUGAGAAUAAUGUGAGGCACAUUUUACAUUUGGCGCGAGUGUGUUGCGAUCUGGGGACGGUUGAAACUUUCCAAACUGAUGGAGAUGGUAUCUGAGGGGUUGAUGAAUAAAAAAUAAUGUUGCAGUUUGUCUACAGUCCUGUGUGCAGUAAAUUUCUGAUAUGCAUGUUUGCGAUUUAGAUUUAGACCGUCUGUAUAAUAAUUACAAUUAUUCGACCCGCUGACAAUAAUAACUCGUUAGACUAAAUCACCGGUUCAAAAUAUUUAAGCCCGGUUAUUAUUAAGACCAGAAUUACUAGGUGUGAGAUUUUAGAGAUGGCUCCAAACUCCCCCCUGUUCUCGUCGGAUCCGUCCAAAUCAGAUCAUAGAUUCUAGAGGUGGAUUCUAGAGGUGACUCCCACUAAAUCCGUUGGUGUAACACUUUAUCUCGUAUAGCACUUAAUUCUCACACUUCCAGCUGGUAUUCGACUCUGAUACCAAUUGCAACGAUCUCGACCCACUAACAAUAAUAACUCGUUGGGCCAAACCAUCGGUCCAAAAUGCUUAAGUUCAGUUAUUAUUACUACGUGUAGGUGUCAUAUAUUCUAAAUAGAAUCAUUUUUUCAUCCGACAUGAAACUAUUGGGGCGUUACAAUUUCUGUAUCAGAAUAAUUUUAUACACAUUUCAGUAUUUAUUAGCAGCGUAAUCAUCCUGUGUACAGAAACCAGCACACUCUAUGUAAUCUCCUUUGGGGGACAAGGAAAUGAAAAUGGCUUGGUUCAAAAAAUUCUUUACAGACUUUUAAUAUGUUGGUGAUUCUUCGUCAUGCUUUGAAUUAUGUGCAAUAAUCAAUAGUGUACAAUAAGAGGUUUUUUUUUGUGAUUAUAAGCUAGAAGUAUAUUUUUAGUCCCUUAGAACAACUACGUUCUGUGUGCGAUAUAAUUUAUUCCAUUCAACAAACGUAUAAGUAUAUUAUACCAAUUAGGACUUCAAUUGUGUUGGUUUAAAUGGGCCAGUAUCCUGCCCUGUGGCGGGAGGUCAUGUGGGCCGAGUCAUGUUCGAAAUGGCGUGAGGCUGGAUUGGGCCAAGUCAUGUUCGAAGUGGCGUGAGGCCAGAUGGGCCGAGUCACAAUCGAGACCCGUGGGCGCUGUUUCUGUACACUUUAAGUGAAUUGGUUGUGUAUUUCUAACAGCUCGAGCUUUUGGGAUUAAUAGUUAGCGCCAACGAUCCGACAAGUGGUAUCAGAGCCAGAGGUCACGGGUUCGAUUCCUGCAUGCUGCAAAUGUGUCCAGGUGCUGGAGGGACGGGCGCUGUUGCUGUACACUUUAAGUGAAUUGAUUGCGUAUUUCUAACAGCUCGAGCUGGGAUUAAUGGUUAGCACCAACGAUCCGACAAAUUGUACUCAUUAUCUACCACUUACUGCAUACUCGGGUAUAUAGCUUAACAAUGAUAUUUCGUAUUCCCUUUUCUACAUUAUGAAUACUCAGGUAGAUGAUUUGAUAAGAGCAUUUUAACCUAUUUUCGCAACUAGAUUAGUGUAUCUGAAUAUGGAUGCGGAUACGGCUCAAGUCAGAUAAAACAAAUAAUAAUAAUAAUAAUAACUCACAUUAGAUAAAACUCCGACUCGAAAGUGUGAUCAAAUGGUUAUUAUUAGGGUUUAGAAAUGGGUAGCACAAAUGUAGUUCAAAAAGCUAGAACGUGAAAAAAAAAAGAAAGUAGAAACUCUAUUUUUAAUUACAUCAAUGUACAACUCAACUAUAUUACAGGUAAUAUAUCCUUGCGGCAAUAGAACAAUAGCUAUCAAAAACAAAAAAAAAAAAAAAAAAAAAAAAGAGUCUUAGGAUUUAGGAGAAUGUUUCAAAAAAGAAGGGUGCUCUGAGGCAGUUGUUGUUACAGGUUAGAUCGUUAAGGGGUCUUUGGAAAGAGUAUCGCGUUUUGUAAUUUGAACCCGUUUUAGAUGUUUUUGUGUACUCCUCUUUGUUUCUUGUUUUCUAUUUUUUUAUCUUCUUUGCUUUCUCAAAGGUCUGGUUGUCUUAAUUUAUAGUCGAAUUCAUCUCCUUAAUGAAUAAAACGAUAACAUGCUAUCAAUUUCCUUAAAAGAGAUAUAUAUAGAGAGCGAUGUAGAUUGUAAGCAUUAAUCAACUAUUCUAAAAAUAUGUACGGAUAGAAAUGACGCAUUCAUCAUAAUUAAAGGCUUAAUCAGAAUGCUCACGGACUUCAAUACGAUUCAACCAAUCUGAACAUUAGACUAUUGUUGGGUCUCUUACUCUUAGGUCUAUUAUGAACCGUAACUCAAUUUAUUGGACUCACCAAACUCAAUUUAUUAGUCUUCUGGGUCUAUUAUUACAGGGCAGAAAAUUAAAGCCAACAAAAGAUCGAGAGAGAGAGAGAGAGAGAGAGAGAGAGAAUCUAGCAAGCAUGGUAAAAACAUGUAUUCGUCAUUUUUUCCUUAAAAUAUUCCUGCUUACCAUUGACUGUUCCUAACGCAAAUGGUAAAGAAUUUGAUGGUUGGUAUUCGAGGUCCCAAGUUCGAAUCCUUGCUGAUUCAUAUUUCAAACUAAGUUUAUUUCUAAACAAAUAAAAGCAUCCUUCAAUAUAUAAUAGAGACAUAAAGUACAUUCAACACAAAUUGGGAAAACAAAAAAGGGAAAACUUCAAAACCCCUCAUGUGGUUUCGUACUUUUUCAUUUUAGUAUCCUGUUGUUUAAAGUAUAUCAAGUUAGUACCAUAUGAUUUAAAGUGUAUCGAGUUAGUACUCUAUGGUUUUAUUUUUGUAUCAAGUUAGUAUUUUGUGAUUUUAUUUUUGUAUCAAGUUAGUACCCUAUGGUUUUUAAAACCAUAGGGUACUAAAGUGAUAAAGUGCGAAACUAUAAGGUACUAACUUGAUACACUUUAAACCAUAGGGUACUAAAAUGAAAAAGUGCAAAACCACAAGGUACUAACUUGAUACACUUUAAACCAUAAGGUAUUAAAGUGAGAAAAAGUGAAACCACAAGAGGGAUAUUUGAAGUUUUCCCAAAAAAAAACUGUUUGAUAAAUUAUCAAUAUCGAUACCUCUAGCAAAGAACAAAAUCGCUUUUAUUUACUUUUAGAUUUAUUAAAAAUACAAUUUAGAUAUAUACUUAGGGCAUGUUUGUUUCGUGCUAUGACUGCUAUCUUUUCAAGAUAUCUAAUAAUUCAAUCGGAAUGAAAAAAACGACGAUAUUUUGCUAAAUUCACUAAGUAAUCUUAUCAGUAAUUUUAGAUUCACUUGAGAAGAAGAUUCAUCUCACAGUAGUAAUCUUAUUUUCUUGUGAUGGGGUAAGUAUGUUAUAUUAAUUAUUUGAAGUAAUCUUAAGUUUUCUAAUCCAAUCUGUUAUUUAUCUUCCUGCCCCAUUAGAGAUCCUCGAUCUUCCGACUCUUCUCUCGACCUAGAGCAUACUGCCAUGAUCAUUUCCAUCAAUCGGGCGUCCUUUGCCAUUUCUGAGGUCUCCUUGCUCUUGAGCGAGGUUCAUGAGGUAGUUUUUUUUGCCCUUUUCUUCGCCCCGAUCUCAAAUCCAAACUCUAUUUUUUUUAUUUUGGAUAGAUUUAUUGUACAACCAGGGCUAAAUCUUUCUAGUUUAUUAAUACAGUGAAAUAUUGUUUAAAUAGACUACUUAUUGCUCUAUUUGCUUUGAUUUUGAAUGGAUUUAUUGUUUAAAUGAGUUUUUUGUUCUAUUAGCUUUGAUUUCAGAUAGAUUUAUUGGUUAAUUAGUUUAGAUUUUGUAUGGAUUUGUUGUCCAAAUGAUUUUGUUAAAAAAAUAGAUGGACUAUUUAAAUUAAAUGAGAAUAAAUAUCUGUACGGUCCACGCCCGACACGGUCCAUGCAACAAUUUGACCUUUUUUACACCCAUGCAUGAUUGGUUGAUAUAAUUGGGCUUUUUUUUUUUUUUCCAAUAUUUGAGCUCAACACAUUUAUUGAGCACAAGUGAGCAUAUUAACUUGCAUAUAUAUACAUGUAUUUAUGCAUCUGAUAUAUAACAAUAAGUUGGUCUCAGUAAAAUAAAUGAGUCACGCUUUACUUGUGAAUUCCCACGCUCAUGUAUUUAACAUAUACAACACCUGCAUGCAUCUGCCAAAAUUUAUUUUCCAAUUUCUACAAAACCUUUUAGAGGUCAAAAUAUUAAUUAAAUGCAAAUGGAACAUUCAAAUUGGGUUGUAAAAAAGGGUGCUUAUGCCCAUUUUUCGAAAGUAGAUAUAAGUAGAAUCGAAAUUUGUAUAAAUUAUAGGUUGAUAUCAUAAUAAAAUUAGUUAUUUCUAACAUAGAUGCUGAUAACUAAACAUGGACAGUAAAAGUUAUGUUAUCAAAGAGUUUAUGCGUACUAUCAGAUAAUACGUCGCUGAUAUCAUUUGAGAAAAAUUAAUCACUCUAGUCUAAAUUUUACAUCCAUCUAUUUUUACGAAUGAGCACAGUAUUAUUCAUUAACUAUCUGAUGUUUUAAAAAUUAUAAAAGCCGAAAAAACUGCUCAAAUUUCUCAUAAUUUUCUCUUUCUUUCUGAAAUUGGUUUAAAUGCUACAACUAACCAAGAUUCCCCUAAUUCAAAUUUUGUGGGCCAUUAAUGUAAUUAAUUAUAGGUGGAUGUAUAGCAUUAAUUUGAAUAAGUUACUAUUCUUUUUCAAUUUCCCUGGUAAGUUAAUGCAAUUAAUUAUACUAGAUAGUGUAAGUUCGAAUAUGUUUCUUUUUUUUAAUCCCUGGAUUACGCAAACCCCACACGUAAUCAACUCCUAAAAAUAAAUUAAGGCAUAAAAAUUGGAAAAGUAGAAAUUUUUUGUAUAUUUUUACAUGAACCGAAUUUCCCGCGCUCUAACCACGACCGUUGAGCAGAAGCAAAGCAUGUAGCACGCAAUCGAAAUUACUGCCUGCACCCGGUGUAUCUAUUCACCUCAUGGACCAUAUCUAAUUUUGAAAUUUAAUUCUAUAAAUGUGAUAUAUAUAUAUAAAUAAAUUGGCAAUUCCAUGUGACACAUUUGGAGUGAACCUAUCAACUAAUCGAACUCUUUCAAAAAGUAUUUUUAAUAAAUUUACAAUAUAUAAUGACAAUAUUAUAAAAUCUGUAGUAAUACUUACGAAAAGGUUAUAAAAUUUAUAAAAUUUUUAACUAAGUAAUUAAGUGGUCUGAAAAAUUAAUGAUAAAUUCAUUACUACUCUUUGAUUUGUGAAAAAUAGAUUUUUAAAGUUUAUAUUUUCAUUUAUAUAUAUAUAUAUAUAUAGUUUUUUUAAUGUUGUAAAAUAUAUAGAGCAAAUUAGAAUAUUUUUAGGAGGCGGUGUAUGAGAUGUACUUGUACACCAGGUGCAGGCAAAAGUUUCUCAAUAAAUGCGUGUGUUUCCCGGGAACCCGCAGGGAGCAAUAUAUGCGCGCAGUGGGACCCACCACCCCAUUUCAAAUCGGAAUACAUGCGUACAAGCCCAUGCAUAUAAAUAUCUACACUCUGGAUUGAUCUCACCGUUCAUUAGCGUAGAAUUAAUCCACACCGUCCAAUGUAGACGGUGAAGAUUCAUUCCGAAGAGAAUGAGCGACGGAUCAAAUAAGUUCGUACAAAUUUCUACAAACGUAGUUGUAGCAAAUCCACGCCCAUUCAAACCGCCCCCAUCUCACACUCUCUCUUUCUCUCUCUAGGGCUCGUAUAUAUAAAUGGUCGGAGUGAGCUUUAAGAAUACGCCAUGGAUGUUGAUGAUGAUGCGAUAAUGGAGAGUGAGAGGAGGAGGAGAAGAGGAUCAGAGCUCGUUCUCGCCUCUCCAUCUCCCUCCUCCAAAUACUCUCCUCGGUCGCUUCUCUCGCGCCUCCUCCUCCUCCUCCCCCUCCGCCGCGCGUCUCCUUCGUCGGCGGCGGCGGGGAUCGGCGGCGGCGGUGGUGGUGGAAGCGAGGGUUUCGGGUGCCGGGUGCGGAUCCCGGGGUAUUGCUCCGGUGGGAAGGAGACGAGGGAGAAGGGAAAUGGUGAGGGCGAUGGUGGUGAUGAUGAUGAUGAGGAGGAGGAGGAAGGAGAAGGGGGAGUGGAGGUGAGGGUUCCGUGUGAUCGGGAUCGAGCGGCGGAGAUUGAGGGAGGUGGGGUUGGUUCCGGCGAGAGUCGUAGUAAAGAGAUCUCCAUCUCCUCAGGUGAGAGGCGAUUUGAUUUCUCCUCUAUUUGUGCCCAUUUUGUGCUUGAUUUUAGGGAAAAUAUACUCCAAAUCAAAUCACCAUUAAGAGUUUAUGAAGUUUAAAUUUACUUUACGAACGAUCAAUUUAGUCUAAAUUUUUUUAGAAUAAAUCAAUGAUUUAUUUCAAAGUAUAGCUUAAAUUUUCGUUUUGAAGUUCUUUAAUCCCCCCGACUCGUAGUACGCAUUAUUCAAACGGACAAUAUAUUGAAAGAUGAUGAGGUACAUCAUUUAUUAAUCUUCUACUUCAAUUAUAACUUAUAAGUUAUAACCUUGUUGGAGGCGACUGCUUAAACCUUUAAUCUUAUUGUUGUAUUAAAUUUUCAACUUUUCUGUUUAAGAUUAUGUCGACGAUAAACAAGUACUCUUUAGUUACUUUUUGCUAAAGAAAAUGCUGUGUUAACGAUCUCUUUGAUAUCCAGGACAUAAACCAGAAGAUGUUUGUUUGACUCUUGGUAUCGGUGUAAGUCUGGUCUUUCUUCUUACGAAGAGCGCGACCGAACUAAAUAAGAUAACAGAAUUACGAAGGCAGAUCGAAAUGCUGCUUGUGGACAUUAAGAAUCAGAUGCGAAAGAAGAAUGUUUCCUUCAGCAUCGAGGAGUCGAAUAAUGCGCCUAUGACUGGGUCGAGUAGUUUUGGAAAUAUUAACAGAGGCGAUUCUGUAGAUUACCAAGAGAACGGAUCAUCCCGCUGUUUGGAAUCAGUACACUGUGCCUUUAAUCCUAGUACAAAUCCAAAUUGUGGUAGUAUUAGAGUAAACCAAAGUAGCAUUGGAAUGGAUCAGAUAGAAGCAGAGCUUGAAGUUGAACUAGAACUCCUACAAUUCAGUCUGAAUGCCAAAAAUUCAGUGCAGCUUCCACCACAUGGAGAAUCGGAGGUAAAACCCUCUUCUAGAGCUUUAUGUUUUUAUAUGUAGUAGGUUAACUGGUUGAAAUCGGCUAAAAUGCAAGGAAACUCUAAGUAUUCCAGUUUUCCCUUUCCCACCUUGAAGAUUGAAAGUAAUAUAUAGCCCCAUUAAACUGUAAUUUUGCAUCACUUUGCCUCUUUUUGUCAAUGUUGUUCAGGCAAUAUGUAUCAAAUUUCUUGUAUCUCAAUCGGCUAUAAUGUAGGUACUUUUAAUGUUUCAUAAGGGUGAUGCGAAAAUUGUGAUGCUUAUAGAAGGGUUUCCUGCAAUUUAGCCUUGAAAAUAUAUAGCAUUUGCAAUAUGAAUAGUUAUCUGUUCUUUUUAGGAACCCUUUUUUUUUCUAGGAAAAGGUUCUUUUUAGAAACCUUAGGUUACGCCGGUACCUAGAAUUCUAGUUACAGCAGAGCUUAGCUUUGUUUUGCUCUAGCAAUUGUUACUUUGUCUUCUAGCACUUAAAGGAUGCCAAAUGUUUUUCUUCCAUGGAUUUUGAUCUGUACAUCAUGCCCUGGAUUAAACUCUGGUGCACAAUUGUUGUCCCUUGAAUCAAAUUCUGGCUAGCAAGCUCACUCAAUUUCCAGAGGAUCAAAAUCUACUUUUGAGCUUUACAUAGUACCUUUCGCAAAAACCCAUUUCGUUGGUUUGAUUAAAUUCAGAUUUGGUAAUUGUGUCAAAUAGCUUAUUAUGUUUGGGUUUGGGAUUUUUGGUGCAUCUGAGCCUUGAUGAAUUCAUUCGGUAAUGAAGUAUGCUUCUCCUAAUAAAGGCCACAUGGCCCACAUCUAAUUUGAGAAUAAUUGCGCAUUUAGAAGUAGAGAAGCAACUUAAGCACUCUUUCCUUGGUCAUAAGUUUAGGAGUUAACUGCAUUAUAAGAUUAGUUCAUGGACUGUGCUUGGAUGGAGUAAAGGUUAUUGUCCUUGUGUUAUACUAAAUGUUAUUUCUUCAAAUUGCACAAUUAUCUAUAUAAUUCACUUUGGAUAUUCUUGAAGUGAUUAAAACUUCCGCUUAGAAGUAGCGUUUCCUGAUUAAGUACCACACAGCAAAUACAGAGGUUAUGCUUAUAUUGAUGAACCUUAUUUCAAUGCUCAACCUAUUUGAGGUUAAAUAAACAUCAUCUAUUAAUAUCUUAAGAAUGCACUCAAGGUGUAUAUUCUACACACUGAGAAAGCUAAAAUUAUCUUGAAACAUGCAACCAAAACCGUGUUUUAAUUCCAGAACAAAACUGUUUUUUAAUUCCAGAUAUGGAACUAAAUGAACUCCGUCCUAGCUCUUAACUUUUGUAAGUGCAAUAUUAAGACUUCUAUUCAUAGAAUAUAUAUAUACACCCUUCAAGAAUGUGUGAAUUGGCUUGAUUUUGAUGUUCUGAUGGUUAGUCUGGUUUUGUUGGGAUUUACCUUGUCAUAAAUUCAUUUUCCAUGGGCACUGAACUCUCGCAUGAAGUAUCCUAGUACACCAUUUCUGGCCACAUUUUGUUAGGGAAUGGGCACAAUUCACAGGAAAAAGUUAGGGUUAAGCAUUGGCAAUGGGGCCAAUCAAAACCAGUAGUUAGUUAAGACCGCUCGAUAUUUAUAUUCAUCACCACAUUCUUUUUCUCUUUUACAGCCGGAAAAUGGAAAGAGCAAUCUUUCUGAAAGCUUAUCUUGGAGUUGCGGAGACGACAGUGAGGUUAAAGAACAAAAAGCAGAAGAAAAAGAAAGCAUUCCUAAUUGUGGAGUUUCUGCACAUGAGCUAGAGAGGAGAUUGCAUGAGCUACUAGAAACAAGGCAGCAAGAACGAAUAAGAGAGCUCGAGUCAGCUUUGGCUUGUGCCGAAAAUAAUCUCCGUGAGAAAGAAAGAGAAAUAUACUGGUGGAGGGACACUGCGAGGCUGGUCUCACAACACAAGGAUGAAGCACUUUUAAGGUUGGCAUUUCUUGUUUGUUUGGCACGCUUGGUACCUCUGCACAAGUAUUAUCUAUUAAAUUCCUCUACAACUUGUUGUAGCAUUAGUAGAAGCUUCAAAUUGGAACUUCUGCUUUUGGGCCUAAACAAUCAGUUUCAUAAAGCUUUUGCUUUUUGGAAUAGAGAAGCAGAUGAAGAUGCCAGGCCAACCAAGCGCUUGUAUUACUAUACUUGGCUCUUGCAUUCAGCCAUUCACAACAAGUUAACUUGCUUCAUUUUGAUCGAAACCAUGAAUUAGGUAAUGCUCAGGAAGGAGCUUACUAUCUCAAAAUGCUAGAAAGAAAAAUCAGCUUGAAGCAUUAGAAGUUAUCAAUACCAACUCAAUUUCCAUGGCUCAUGGGAGGAUUAUCUUGGGCGUAAGAUCAAAAGGCAAAACAAGUAACUGGCGAAGGUAAAUAUGCAAUGCAUUUCUACUGUGUAGCGAAAUCCUUUUGUUUAGUUUUGUUUAUUGGGGAGGGUAAGAUUCCAUGAGGUCUAUGCAAAGUAAGCAGUACCAUUUGGCAUUCUAGUGUUCUUUUUCCUGUUUAAUUAUAAAGUAAUCUUUGUUGAUUUGGUGCAUUGUCUCAUGCUUCCUCAUUGAAAAUCUAGCAUUGAACAACGUUAGUCGCCGUUAUUAAGCUUGGCUAGUUUUCCAUACUCUAUGUGUUGAUAUUAAUGUAAAAGCUGUUAGGACUUUCUGAAUAUCUCUACUGCCCCACUACUGUAGAAGCUCUUGGCAUGCCAUUCUUCACAAAGAUAUAUGAGAAGUUUAAACUAUAUGCAUAUGAAAGGAGGUGUUUGUUCCACACCAAAGUGGAAAAAGAUGUUUGAGUUAUUGACGAAUGUCAUAGAAUGAUAUAAUCUUCUAGUUUCUGCUAGCUAGAUCUUAGCUUUUGUGGAAGUGCUGUUUAAAUAAAACCGCUAGAAGAAAUCGUAAGAGUUCUUUUAUUAGAUCUAUAAUAGCUUUCUGAUUGAAUUCAAAGUCUCAUUUUCAUCUGUUUGUCGCAGCUAGAAGUUUUAGACUUCUUAUAGUACUAGAAAUUUGAGAGGCACAGAUCAUGCAAUGAGUCUUUUAUUACCUUAUCUAUGUAUUGAAAAUUGAAAGGCACAAAUCAUGCUGUUUUCGAAGAAAAUUCUUUGAAUUGUAAUAAUGUUGCUAGUUGACUUGUCCCUUACUAAAUACUGGUCCCAUAAAUGUGGAAGUCCUAGUGCAUGUGACAUUAAUGUAAUGAUAAGCCUAAUUGAAGUCAAAAUAGGAACUUUUUUCUUUUUAACUCUAAGAAAUGUAAGUUAAAAACCUCUAGGUAUUUAAAAGAAGGGUAAAUGACAAGUAUGGUCCUCAAACUAUGAGAGGCGGGUGACGCUUUGGUCCUUAAACUUUGAUUAUCGUAAUUUCUAGCUUGAAUUUUUAAAAUUAUUGUAAUUUGGUCCCACAACCCAAUUUAGUUGACUAAAUAUUAACUCAUUGUUGAUGCAAAAUGAUAAUUGUAGAGUAUGCAUGCCCAUUUGAAACUAAAAAUUGGGCUCUAUUCACUCUCACAUUGCACAUCAAACUCAUCAACUACACACUUGUGCUACAUUUUAUGGUGCCAUAUUAUAUAAUUGUUUUCCUAAUUGGUUGUAGAUGAUCUAAAGAGAUCCUAGUUGGGUGCUAACAUUGAUUGGUACAUUUAGAGAGUAACGCAUAUAAUUUUGUUUUAUCUUCCAUGGAAAAAGAAUCUUUUGGUAGAGCUAAUCCUCGGGCAAUCGAUCUCUUCUUUUUAAACCCAAAAAAGUGGGUCUCGCAAUAAGUGAACUACUUUAGGCCUUUUCUACUGUUAGAGGCUCAUUAUUCGUUACUUUUGGAUUAACCAAUCCACCACUUGAAUAAUAGAUAAAAAAAUGUUGAAAUUUUUUUAAAAUGUGGUUUCAUAAAAUUUAUUUUAUUUACUGCUGAUUAUAUUUAAUAGUAUUGAUCGCCGAUUCGGAUACCCAGAAACAACAAUAGCUUGAUAUUUUUUUAGAAGCAUUGUAGCGGACUCCCUUUAUAUAAUUUUACAUAUUUUUAAGGGUGUAUCAGCAAAAACGAACUUCUUUCUUUUUAACUAUUUAUGCCAUACUUUAUUUGUCCCAAACAGGUUGGUAGAGAAGAAUAAAAAUAAAAAUAAAAAUUAUUAUUUAUUAUUUAUUAUUAUUUAUUAUUUUUGUUAUUUUUAACACAUUUGAUGUGGAAUAAGGAAUCCUCUAUUGCAAAAACGUGCAACCAUUAAUGACACAAGAUCCAACAGUUUCACAUGCUCCACAACCCCCCCACCAAAUGUUGGGGACAUUUUGUGGUCCCCAUUAAUUGGGCCCCACCAUUCUCGUACUGCUCAAUCACAAACAAGGAGCCAUGUUUUAUUUGUUUAGGUUAAAAAUAGGGGAAACUUCAAAUACCAUCCCUAUGAUUUCACGUUUUCUCAUUUCAGUAUUCUGUGAUUUAAAAUGUAUCAAUUUAGUGCCAUGUGGUUUCAUUUUUAUCUUUUUAUUAUCGAUUCCACUAAUUUUUGCAUUAAAUCAGUGACAAAGUUAAAAAUAAGGAUACUAAAGUGAAUAUUCGAUAAACCUAGGUGGGGUAUCUGAAGUUUUUUAUAUAUAAUUUAACGAUAUAUUAAUGAAAAAGCUGACGAAAAAAUAAAAAUGAAAUCACAGGACACUAACUUGAUACACUUUAAACCACGGGGUACUAAAAUGAAAAAGUGCAAAAUCACAUGGGUGGUAUUUGAAGUUUGCCCUUAAAAAUAUAUUGAGCGUAUCUGAACUAUAGUCCAUUUUGAAUCAACUACCUAAUAUUCAAAAUUUGGAUUUUACUAUCAAAAGCGUUUGUUUGAAUUAGUUAAUGGUACUUUUGACUUCAAAGUUUAAACUAAUUAUUAAUUUUAAUCGGUUUAUAGUUGUGGGGAGUGUAUAAAGCAUACUAACUAUGUCUAUAAAAAUAAAUAAAAUAUUCAAAUUUUGACGUCAAAUGCCGCUGGCUGACUUAAAUCAAACAAAUUUUAGAUAUUAAAAUUAAAAUUUUAAAAGAUUGGAUAGCAGACUCAGAAUAGUACAUAGUUUAGAUGAGUUUGAUAUGAUUUUAUCAUUUAUUUAAUUAUUUAUUUAAUUAUUUACUUUUGUUGUAAAAGAUUCAGAGUUUGUCUCGAUAAUUGUUGAACUUUAAAUAGACAAACAGUUCCUGGCAUAAAUGGUAAAAGGCUUGAUGGUUAGUAUCCGAGAUCUUUAAUUUCAUAGAGUAGUUGUUUAAUAUUUUUAGUCGAGUUCAUCUCAAAAGAAAAAUGAACCAAGGAGAAACAUUUUUCAGUAAAAAAAACUUUAAACAGGUUCUUAACUUUAGACUUUGUUUGGUCUUAUUAAUAUUUUUUAAAAUAUAAAUUGUGUGCAAAUAAAUAGUAAAAUAUAAAUUGUUUGGUUUUAUAUUUCUAGCUGAGUUCAUCUCAAAAAAAAAUAAAAAUAAAUGAAGUGGGUAUAUUUUUCACUAAAAAAAAACUUUAAAUAGGUUCUUAAGUUUAGACUUUGUUAGGUCUUAUUAAUAUUUUCUAAAAUAUAAAUUGUAUGCAACAAAUGGUAAAAUAUAAAUUGUUUGGUUUUAUAUUUCUAUCUGAGUUCAUCUCAGAAAAAAAAUUAAUAAAUAAAUGAAAGGCGUAUAUUUUUCACUAAAAAAAAAUUUAAAUAGGUUCUUAAGUUUAGACUUUGUUAGGCCUUAUUAAUAUUUUCUAAAUUAUAAAUUGUAUGAAAUAAAUGGUAAAAUACUUGCAGUCUAUAUUCGCGGAAUUUAUCAAUAAUAAAAAGUUAAAAAAAAUUGAGUAAUGCCAUUUUUUUUCCACUUUUUUAGAUUAAAAAAAAAAAAAAAACUCUCUUUGGUCAACAGCCGGAUUGCAUUGUAAAAUAACCAAAAUAGUAAAACCAAAAAAAAGUAGAUAUUUUAAUAUAUCCAAUUACAUAAAAAUUUUAUUUAUGAAAAAAAAUAAUUGUGCCAAACAAGGUUUAGAUUUUAUUUUUGAUUUUUUGGCUCCAAAAUAAUGUGUUUACAAGAAGCUUUUUGAAGAUAAUGUGAAUCUAAGAAUUAACCAACUAUCUUAAAAGUACGGACCGAUAAGAAGAACGCAUCUAUCGUACUUACGAGUUUAACUACAACACUUAUGGACUUCGAUCUUAACUCAAUCUAUCUCGACGUUAGAUUUAUUGUCAAGUCUCUUACUAUUAGGUCUAUUGUGGACUGCAGGACCACUCGACUUAUUAGAAUCAUUCAACUCAGCUUAUUACUUUAUGGGUCUAUUUUUACGAAACAGAAAAUUAGACUUAUUUUAACCAAUAUUAAUUAGCCGACAGAUAAUCAAAGGAUUUUUAUUCAGCUAAUGCUUUCAAUUAUAAAAUUAUGAUGGUUUUAUAAGAUUAUCACACAUCUAGAUUAGUUUAACUAAUCUACAUGAAUUAUUGAUCAAGGUUGACAAUUAAUUACUUAAGAACUUAAAAGAGAUUUGCAUCAUGAUUCUCCCUUUAUUACUUUUUCUUCUUUUUUUUUUUUUGCUUUAGUUUUUGUGGGCCCCAACACAAAGUUAAAAUUGUUCCUUUACAAAGUAUUGGAGUAUAUAACCAAGUAGUUAACACACACACACACACACACACACACACACACACACACACACACAACAAAAAAGAAGAGCUACCCUUGCUCACUAAACUAUCCAUAUAAUGACAAAAAAGCUCCUAUUUUCUUUUUCUCUUUCUUUUUUUUUUUAUUCUGUUUUUAGCAUUAAAGUUUCCUAUGGAGAAAAAUUACUCCUCUUUAAUAAAUGUAAGAAACUGUACUUUCACAAAAUAUAUAUAAAAAUUCAGAUUUUAUAGGUGUCUGAAAUUUAUGAGAGAAAUUUUUAAACAGAUCAGAUUCAUUACAUCUGAUAAAAUUCUAAAAUUACUCUACAUUUAAAUCUCUUAGCAACUGAAUGAAGAUCACAUAAGCCAAAAAAAUAUAUAUAUAGUUGUAUUGAGCUCAUGAAGAUAACUAACAAAACAAAACUACCACAUGAUUUCCAUUAAUUGCAACAUGUCUUGUAUAUAACUAAUAUUAAUGAUAAUAAUAAUAAUAAUAAUUAGGGCAACAAAGAGAUUGAACAUGAGUAGUUAAUGCAAUUCAUUAGUACUUAAAACUCACCACUCCUCCCCCAUUUCCCUCAACUUUUGAAUUCUUUAAUAAGGUUUUUUUUUAAAAAAAAUUGAAUGGAGAUCCCCUCAACUAUAGCCUCUUUUAACUUCUAUUUUUCCAUUAAAAUAAUUCCAGUUAGUUAAGUCCAUAAUUGUAUUGAGUUUAAUGACUCUAUUAGUUAUUAAUUAGCUGUUAAUUGUGCUAGUUUUAUUUACUUAAAGAGUGAUUAAAAAUUUUACAUUUCUCAAGUUAAAUAAUUAAAAUUUAGGGGCGUCAAAACAAAAACUAAACAAAAGUUUAGGAGUUCAUUUCUAAUUUUUUUUAAUUUAAUCUAUUCUACUAAUUGGUUAAGUCAAAAAAAAUAUUAAAUUUAAUGAUUUGGUUAAUUAUUAGCUGAUAAUUCUAUAAUUUUAUUUGCGAUUAUUACAAAUACUGAAUUUGAUGAAUUCAUCUAUAAAUCUGGUAAAGUUUUUACUUUGAGGGGGACAUUUUGAAAUGUCAUAUAGUUCAGGGUUCCCCACACAUUUUUACCAUGCUUUGAUUAAACAUUUCACUCUUUAUGUUUAUCCCAUUGAAGUAUAAACCCUAUCACAAGAAUCCUCUUUAUCUUUUGACUAAUAAAUAUUAAAAUAUUAGUUUAAGCAAUUUGCAUGAUUCCAAUAUGUGAAGGUUUUCUAGUAAUAAUAGUAGAAGUAGCCAUUCUUUUUUUUUCUUAGUAAAAUUAUUUUUUAAAAAAUAAUUCAUCAACAUGUCGAUAUAAAAUCUAACAAACAAAAUUACUAUAUUGUAUAUACUUUGGAAAAAAAAUAAAAAAAACAGCCUUUUUUUUCAAAACUCAAAACUACAAAAAAUACUUUUUGGAAUAUUUUUCAGAAAACCAAACACCCGCGCUGUGUCCUCUUCUUUAUUUAAAGCUAUCCAAAUCUUUUUUUCUUUUUCUUUUUUUUUGAGAGAGAAAUAUCCAAAUCUCUUAUAAAGAUUAUACUCGCUAUCGUGUCAAUAAAUUAAAGCUUCUUCUAAGUAGAUAAGAAAAGGAUUUAAUGAAGCUGUAAAAAAGGAUUGGAUCUUUUUCCCAACACAAAUGAGAUUUGGAUCCUAUACUUUCAAAAAAAUAUAUAUAUAUUAAUAAAAAUUGUGAGGAAUAAAUGGACAUGGAAUCAUGUGCAUUCACCACACUUGAAAAGAAUUGUGGUGGAGGAUUUGCUUGGUAAUUAAUAGAUAGGGAUAAUUGUCUAUAUACCCCUCAAAACUUUAAAAAUAUCUAAUUUAAUCUUCUUUUUUUUUGUUUCCAAUAUACCAUUCGUAUGUUCCUCCGUUAUUCAAAAAUACUCCCGCAGUUACCAUCCGUUAAGUUAUCUCGGAUUGAACGUGAGUUAAAUGUGUAUCAAAGUUUAAAAAAUUAAAAUAUAUUUUUGUCCUUAAGUUAAGAGCAAAUAAGAAAAGUUGUUGAUAGUAAAAGGUAUAUUUGAAAAGAACAAAAAUCAAAAUAUUUUUUUUACCCCUAACUUAAGGGUAAAUAAAAAAAAUUGGUGAUGAUAAAAUGGUAUAUUUAAAAGGGCAAAAUAGUAAUUUUAUAGAGAUAAUGGCUAUUGCUAACAGUUCACUAACAAAACUUAACUCAGGGGUAUAUUUAAAACAACUGAAACGUAAGAAGAGUAUUUUUAAUACUUAUCUUCUAAGAGAUGUAAAUGAAAAAAUCGAAAAUUUUUCACAGGUAUAUAAACAAUUACUCCUAAUAAUGUGAAUUUGGAAAAGAUAGUAGGAACCAAGAAAAAGAACAUGUUAGUGGGUAAUGAAAAAUGCAAUAUAAACCAAAUAAUUCAUGAGAAAAAGAAAAAUUUAUUACCCAUAUCCAAUGCAUUUGUAAAUAUCGAUAUCAUUUUAUAUUUCAGUCGUCCUCAUCAUUUAAAAAUCAGAGUGAAUUUAGAAUUCGGAUGUGUUUGGUUCCUUGUAAAAUCAUCCCGAAUUAGAAGAUCAUAGUUUUCAACAGUGUAGAUAGUUGGUAGGAAGCAGUGCAUAUUAGUUGGAUAGAUAGAUGCACAGAUGUAAAGCACAAUUUCUCCUAAUAUAGGGUCGCUUGAGUUGUCAGACCAUUGACACUAAUCAUUAAUCCUAAAAACUCAAGUUGUUAAAAAUAUACAAAGCGUACAAACACAAUACCUAAAAGUCUUGAUUGCGACUCAACCCAACCAACCUCACACCACUUCAAAUAUGACUCGGCUCAACCCGACUUUUCGCUAUUUCGAACGUGAUUCAGCCCAAUCUAACCUCCCGUCACAUGACAAAAUAUUAGUCCUUUUAAACCAACAUGAAUCUCACUAACUUACAAAGAUUUUGUU